CCUCCCCAGGUGCCGCACCUUCUGUGCCGCCACCGCCCUCUACAACUAACACCCCUCCAACUACCCCUUCCCCCACAUCAAACGACCCUGCUGCUUGUGAACCUGUCCCGGCUCCAUCGCCUUCCAUGAGUGGAGUACCCACCGUGAACACCACCCCUGGGUCGCUGCCUCCGUUGGGUUCUUCUUCACAUGUUGUUUUAGCUAGCUUCGUUUUAUCCUCCUUGGCUCUUGUCGUGGGUUUGUUCUUUUAGGUGCAGUAGACAUCCGCAUUUGGUCAUCCAAUAUUUUUUUGGGGUCUUUUGAUAUGGGUCCAAUUGGACUAAAAAUUGGACCUAUUUCAAAAGAUGGGCUAUAAUUGGGUCUCUUUCAAAUUUUUCCUAUUUUUUUUUAUUUUUUAUAUAUUUUCUUUCUUGAUAGGGCAGGGUAAAUCGUUAUUUAUUUUAAUCUCUUUUUUAUUUUUGUAUCGGUUUUGUAUAACAGAACAGUGAUGAUUUUUUGGAGUGUGCUAUUAAUAAAGGAAUUCUUGUAGUUGAAAAUAUUGUUAUGCACUAUGUUGGAACUUCGAACGUUAAACUUGUCUGUAUGGUGUUAAAAAAAAUCAUUAUACAAAAUACAAAAAAAAACGAGUGUAAAAUGUCUUUGAUACCUUGGUUUUUAAGAACAAACUCAUAAAAUAAAAAUAAAAACUAAAGACAAUAUUUAGUUUUAGUAAAACAUCAAGCAAGACAUGUACACUUAAUUAUUAAACAAAAUUACUGUUUAAGAAGAAAGUUCAUAUACACAAGCACCAAUAUUACCAUGAUGGUCACACCUAUCGUCUUACUCUUAACUGCUAUUGCUGUCACUAUUUUCUCAACUCCCACUAUUCAUUUUACAAAAUACAAAAAACGAGUGUAAAAUGUCUUUGAUGAAGAAAUUAGGGUUUUACUAUAAAAUCAAUUGAUAAUAUGGAAAAUAGCUCAAUAUCUUAUCAGCCCUUGCCUUGGUCUACACCUCAUCGGUGUGGGUCAUUUUGUCCUCACAUUAUUAACUCUCAAUAGGCCCCCUUAUGUGUGACUAAUUUUUAAGCCUACAUGUGGACAACAAAUUGGGUGAUGUGUGAAAAUGUGCGGCCCUUGAGCUUUCACAUAAGGGUCAACUUGACUUUGAUACCAUGAAAAAGUCGGUGUUCUACCAUAAACCAAUUGACAAUAUCAAGAGUAGCCCAACAUCUUAUAAGCCUUUGCAUUGAUCUAUCCCACUGAUGUGGGACAUUUUGUCCUCACAUCAUCAACUCUCAACAUUUGAUAUGUUGGUUUUUAAGAACAAACUCAUAAAUGGAAAAAACCAAAGACAAUACUUAGUUUUAGUAAAACAUCAAGCAAGACAUACUUAGUUAUUAAACGUUAUUGUUUAAAAAAAGAAGAAAAAAAGAAGAAGAAAGUUCAUAUUCACCACCACCAUAGUUAUUUAGUACUACGGUUUAGUGGUAUUCCUCUUUAUUGGUAAGUGAGAGGUCUUAAGUUCGAUUCUUGCCAAAGACGAAUUUGAACCAUAUUAUUGCUAGCCCAUUGUGAGGCUUAACCCAUUCUCCCACCCCUUAGUGUAGAUAAUAUCGUUGUUCAAAAGAAAAGAAGAAGAAAGUUCGUAUAGACACCACCACCAUAUAUAUUCACCAUAUUCGUCAACCUAACAUCUUAACUGCUAUUGCUGUCACUACCAUUAUUAUCUCAACUACCACAAUCCCCACCACUAUCUCACCACCGCCUUCACCAUAUCUCCGUCGCUAUCAUCCACACCACCUCUCAACCACCAUUGUUGCCACUACCAUUCUUCGCCACCAUCAUCACCGGUGAUGUGAGCAUUCCUACUACCAUUGCCCCUCCCAUUCAUGGACGGAGUUAGAGUUUUUUUUAGUGGAAGAGACCUUAACAUCUACUUAUACUUAAGAAAAAAAAAAUUAUCAUAAUAAAAUAUCGUCUAUAAUUUCAUUUGCUUUUUCUUUUUCCUUAAACUGCACAAAGCCACAACUUCACAACUUGGAGAAAUGCUUUUACAAUGAUGGGCUAUUUCAGAAUAUAAACUGAAAGUAGUGCAAUUAUGGCAAGUUCAAUCUCCACAUGUCUUUUUAUAUGUGUUUCAUUAAAAGGAGCAUAAAUAAUAUAAUCAAUAUGUUAUUUGCAUGUCACUUAGUACUAUGGUCUGGUAGUAUCCUCUUCACUUGGAAAUGAGAAGUAUUAGGUUUGAAUCUCGUGAUGACGAAUUCGAUAUCAAAUUAGGUUGUCCAUUGUGUGGCUUUGUCGAAUUCUCUUUUUCCCUUAGUGUAAAAAUAUCGAUGUACUAAAAAAAAAUUUAUUUGCAUUGCACCUUCUAUAAUAUCAUAAUUUUUUUUUCUCACUAAACUUAGGUGCCUCCAGUGAUCCUUAGCUGCCACCAUUCAUGUCCCCACCCCGCUAUUAUCACCACUCAUAUCCCACCAUUAUUGUUACCACCACCACUGUUUCUAAUUGCACAACCCUCGUUGCAAUCAUCUCCACCACCAUCCCAUCAUCUUAAAAUAUAUAUUACAAAACAUUAUCAUCAAACACGAAUUUCUUUUAUUGACAUUUAUAUAUCGAUAAACAAAGACGUCUAAUGUCUUCCUUGUCCAAAUAUAAUUCCCAGAUUAAACUCCUAGACGAAUUCUCGAUGUCUUUUUACUGCUACAUUUUCAGUUGGCUGGACGGGAGCUGGGCCAUGUCACCUACUACUUUAACGGGCUUUGUUUGUGUUUGAAUUUUUUAUCCUGUAAGCUGAAUGGAAAGACAUGAUAUGAUGUGUUAAAAUAAUGAGUUAACACGAACCAACAUCACGACCCAUUUGUCAGGUCCAUGUAGAGGAAAAUGUGAUUUGACCAAAUUUAUUGUUGUUAAAAAUUAAAAUCUCCGCGCUUUUGAAGAUUACAAUAUUGAAAUAGGAAUGUAAGUUUUCCUAGUUAUGGAAUCCCUUUCUAUUGAGUGAUCUCUCAAAAAACUUAUUUGAUGAGCAUAGGUACAUUUUGAAGAAAUUUAAUUUGUUUUAUGGUGGAAUUUUAUCUGAGUAUGUUGUCAUGUGUAAGAAAGCCCAACAGCCUGGCGUGCUUCAGGUCAUCCGAUUUGUGUUGUCCAUGUGUUAUACUUGAAAAUUUGCCAUCCAUAAGGUGUUAUCCCACAUUGGAAAAAAGAAGACCUUGCAUGUGCUUAUAAGCAAGUUAGGCUAUUCCCAUACACCUCCUAUUCAUUUUACCUCAACUUCUUCACAUUCUACAUUGUAUUGCAAUGAUUCAAACAAAUUAUUUUUCAAAUUGUUGUUGAAAAUUUGUUAGUUUGUUCAGUGAGCGUGGAGGGCCAAAACUGUUAGUUUAAAACUCGGUAGAAGUUGGUUAAAAGGGAAGCAUUGUAUCAGAAAGCUUGUUCAUUUGUUGUAGAUUGAUCUUUCGUAAUAAUUUCUAUUUUUUUUUUUUUACAUAAGAGUGAAAAUUGAAGCCAAGGAAAGCUCCAAAAUCCUGGAAUUUGGAAGUUUAGGCGGGUCCCCCAAGUUUAUCACGUUAGACUAUACGACCAUGUACAUCACAAGAAUUCUUCAACCCGAUAAUAAUUAGGUUAUUACUUUAAGAACCUACUAAUGAGAGAAAGUCGAGCAUCAUUAAACAGCAAAAAGAAAAAGAGAACAAGUCUUUUCAUGAAAUGUAGUAUGAUAUGAAAGAAGGUUGGAACUUUCCACUUUGGGUCUCGGUACAACAUAAUAGACUAGAAUAGUCUAACAUGCACCAGAAAUCAAAGUUAAGAUGACCGACUUCCCAUGCAUCUUCUUAUUGUUGUUCAAGGCAGCCGUGUCUAAGACUCUACCAAGUCUUGCUUUUUCAUUACACUCUUCAGCUUUCCCUACCUCUCUAUUUAUAGGCUUCAAUUCAUGUAUCCUUGCCAUACACUCUUAUCAGCGAUUACCUAAAACAAAUCAAUUUGCUUUAGUAAUCACAGCCUCCUACACAAUUUUCCUAGAGAUAUAGAGAGAAACAGAGCUAGAUAGAUGGAGAGCAAGAUGGUGAUUGUUUUCGGUGUAGUUGUGGCUGUGUUCCUGCAAAAUGUUGCAGCACAGACGGGACAUGUGGUGGGAGGAAGCAUAGGUUGGACCAUCCCUCAAUCUGGUGAACAAGAGUAUGUCACUUGGGCUGCAAGUAACAAGUUCGUUGUUGGUGAUACUCUCAGUAAGAUUCGCUUCUCUUCUGAUUUCCAUCGUCUUCUUCAUUAAGUUAAUAACUUCGUGAACUCAUUAGUGUAACACUCUUCUUCAAAUGAACCAGCUAGACAGACCCAGUUAGGACUCCGCAUUUACUGAUCACAUUAAUACAUAUAUAUAUAUAUAUAUGUAUAUUUGAAGUGAAUCCACGAGUAUUUCUGUAAAAUAAGAGCACAUGAUCGACAAUAAUUAUCAAAUAAAGUUUCAAUUAAUUUCCUCUAGCCUUGAAAUUAUUCCAAGGUAAACUAUCCAUCACUCAUGUUUCUCACAUUUGAUGUUUCUUAAUUAUGUCUCCAGUUUUCAACUUCGCCACCAACGCACACGAUGUACAAGAAGUACCCAAAGCAUCAUUCGACUCAUGCAGUUCGGAAAACCCAAUUGGCACGGCUAUCACAACUGGCCCAGCAAACAUCACUCUCACCUCUUCAGGCGACCACUACUACAUCUGCACUUAUGGCCGUCAUUGCCAGUCGGGCCAGAAACUAGCCAUCACCGUCUCAGCUGCCUCCCCAGGUGCCGCACCUUCUGUACCACCACCACCCUCUACUACUAACACCCCUCCAACUAGCCCUUCCCCUACAUCAAAUGACCCUGCUGCUUGCGCACCAGUCCCAGUUUCAUCACCAUCCAUGAAUGGAGGAGUACCCACCGUGAACAUCACCCCGGGGUCGCCGCCUCCGCUGGGCUCUUCUUCACCUGCUGUUUUGGCUAGUUUCUCUUUGUCGGCCGCUGCUCUUAUCGUGGGUUUGCUCUUUUAGUUACCAUGAAGACAUCGCCGGUCCUAAUUAAUUACUAUAUUGGUGAUCCAACCUUUUUUAUAUUGUCUAUCUUGAUAGUACAAAAGUAAAUGGAAUUUGAUCUUAGUCUCUCUUUUGUUCUAAAUAAUUUUGUAUCUGUUUCUUAUAACGAACCCGUACAGGGUGAUUUUUUUUAGUAUACUAUAAAUAAAGGAAUUCGUUUGUUCAAAAUUCUGUUCUGCAAUGAAGAAAGAAGGAAUGUUUUUCUGCCAAAUGGUCCUAUAGUCAAUGCUAAUCUUAUGGCACAUGUAAUAUGAUCGUCCAUUUAACUCUUAGAACUUUUUUGUGAACGUCUGUCCUCUCAAUUUCGUAUCCAUAACAUACAUGCACAAAAAGAGAUAAAGUUCACAUGUAAUGUAAACUCUCAUAAUAAGCACGUCCACCUUUCCUUUCAUGGAUUUGAUCUUGAAAUUGUCUCUACAAACUGUAAUGAAAAUAAAAAUUCCCGAAGUAUUGUGACAUCAUGUGCUUCGGACCUCAAGUUUGAGAUGUAAGCGUACAACAAGGGACUAACAGAAGUUUUUGAACAUAAUUUGGUUAAACCCAUGAACUUUUUGAUCAAUAAAGCAGCAAGAAGAGAACAUUAAAGAAUUUCUAUUCGUCACAAAGAUUCCGUUAAUCGUCUCAGUUCCUAGAGCUUUUAAGGAGAAAGCUUUGAUAAUCUCUUCGCUGUUUCGAAAACUUCUGCAAAUUGUGAGGGGGAUCUGAAACCAUCAUUUGCCGUAGUAAUAAAUUCUCCAACAUAAAGGUAAAUAUAUAGGGCUACAAAAUGUGCUAAGAAAUAUGAAAUACAAUAAAGAAUUAGAAUAGGACUAUACAAUGGGUAAUAAGUUAGGCCAUCUCUAACCGAAAAUGCUAAACAUAGCCUUAUUCAGAAUUAUAGUCCUGCAAAAAAAUAUUUUUAAAUGAAUAGUAUCAGAACAUACUCAUAUACUAUCCAAUCCAACCGAAUGGAAUAAAACAUAGUCUCCUCAAUAAUUUAUUAGUUUUAAGUUUGUACCUUAAAUUUAUUAGUUAAUUUAAUUAAACUAUCGUUGGAUAUUUCAAAUAUAACAGUUAAAUUUGAAUAAAUUAUUACAAAUGAGGAAUUGGGCUCCAAAAAAAGGGCUAAAGCCAUCUCCAAUGGAGAGGGUUAAAUGGCUAAAGGGCCAAAAAAUGGCCUGAUUUGAAUAAAAUCCAACUCUAACCAAAGGCUAAGCUAAAAAUUAAUAGAGCCCACCAGGCCGAAACAUAGUCAAAAGGGCAUCAGGCUGGCCAAGUUUGACUUGACAACCGGCCGUUUGCUGGGCCAAGCAGCAAAUCCUGAGGCCACUUUUGGAAGAAUCCAACGGCUACAAAUUAUAUGGGCAUCAGGCUGGCCAAGUUUGGCCUGAUAGCCAGCCUUUUGUUGAACCUAGCAGCAAAUCCUGAUGCCACUUUUGGAAGAAUCCAACGGCUACAAAUUAUAUUAUACAUCUUUCAAGAAUAUGGAUGUCAUGUCUGGGAGAUACGUAUACGACCAUUAAUAAAAAACUUGGUCUGUUAUUAUAAUCAUGAGGAUUAAUAAUUAAUCUUUUAUAUUAUUACUGAUAAAUUGUUGAAAUUCUUGUGAAAAAUCUUUUUAAGUGUCAUUUAGUGAAAGAAGUUGUCAUUUGCAGGUGGUCCUUUAUCACAGUUGUGAAGCCUAAAAUAAUUCCAAAAUUUUUUAAAGGCGACGCGUGAACUUUUGCUCAAGAAAGACAAGUUGCCCUCAAUAAAUGGGCAUGCUUCUCAAAUGCUCCCACGCGCAGCUCACACCCCUAAAGGUCCCAACAGCUAAAUACGAUUGCCCACAGCUCACAUGCCCUUGGCAAGGAAAAUUCAAAGCAUUAAAGAUAAGAAUUAAUUACCUAAAUCUUAUCUUUAAUACAUUCCCAAUUAAAGAUUGACUCUAAUCAGGUAAGUAAUCCCAUUUAAAAUCAAUUAGGGAUAAUUACUCCAUAUCUCAAGAUAUUAUUUUCUAUUUAAUAUCUUGAUAAUAUUUCUCCAUAAACCCUAACACUAUGGCCGACCAAAUACCUAUAAAUACCCCAUAUUCUACCAAAUUUCGGUAAACUUUUGCUACCUUAUAAAAGCCUUAAACACUUUAUUCUCCUCAGAGAAACUGACUUAGGCAUCGGAGAUCCAUUGACCUAAACCCCCUAACUUGUGGGCGCGUGAGGCUUAGGUCCUUGAUCAAAGGUGUUAAUUGUUUUUCAAGUGCAGUUUCAUCUAGACUGAAGGUGGAAAUUUGCAUCGACAAAUUGGUACUUUUAUUGAGAGCUGAUUCAAAUACUCGAAGAAGCCUCUUGCAUUUGGUUUCUUGAAUUUUCUAUUACAUUGAAUUUUUCACAUGUCGUAUCAAUUAAUUUUCGUAGAAAAGUUUCGUGAUCAAUCCCUAGAGAAAUGAUACAAUGGUAGGAAAUUCAGAAACCACGACGAACGGAACGCCGUACAUACAAGGAUUUGGAUCGGAGAGUGGAGACGAUGAUGUAGCCCUACGACGGAAGUCUUUAAGACUCAACGCGACGGCAGGAGGGGCCCUACCGCCGCGGAGCCGCAUCACCACCACCUUUGUGACCCAACAGCCACGAAAAGGCCACCAGGCCACAGCCUAAGUUCCACCAUCGCUGCCCUCGAAGCGCUGCAACCCACAAAACCCUGGUCAGGAGGCCUAGGUCUAACCAGUGGUCCACGAGCAUGAGGCUCAAGGCUUGGCAACUAUCACAGCAAGCCCAGGGCAGAAGGCUUAGCCCACUGCAGCAACUCAGUUGCCAACUAGUGAGCAUAGGCACUUCAGGCCCAGGCCGAUUCUUAGGGUACCUGGUAACCCAAUGAGGAAUCGAGGCUUAUCCAAGGUAAAUUAGAGCAAUCUUGGACAUGAAGUCUCCUACAACUUUGAAGGAGAUCCAAAUUCUGACUAGACGAGCAGCCGCACUUAAUCGUUUCCUCUCGUUAUUCAUUAACCGAUGUAAGCCAUUCUUCAAGGCAAUCAAAAGAGUGCAGAAUGACAAAUGCGACGAUGAGUAUGAGAAAACAUUUUAGAACCUGAAGUAGUACUUGACAUAACUUCCACUAGUAUCUAAGUCGGAAGUAGCAGAGAACCUGUACAUCUAUCUGGCAGUAUCAGAAGUAGCAGCAAGCUCUGCCCUCAUACGAGAAGAGCUGGGGGCCCAACUGCCUGUAUUAUAUACAUCCAAAGCUCUCCUCGAUGCAGAAACCAGAUACCCGAAGAUUGAAAAACUAAUUUUGGUGCUAGUUGUUGCAUAUCGGAAGCUUAGACCUUACUUUCAAGGGAAUCUGGCCAUUGUCAUCACCCAGUACCCACUACGAUCAGUUUUGCAUAGACCAGAUGCUUCUCAACGAGUGAUGAAGUGUGCGUUGGAACUUGGCCAAUACAGCUCAACCCCACACAUGGACAAAAGCCUAAACAUUGGCAGACUUUACAGCAGAAUUCACCCUAAGCCUGAAGGAUGUAGCAACUCAACCCAAAAGCAUCCCGGAAGCAGCCAAGUACACUGUAGCCGCACUAGCCCCACCUGCAUGAGAUUUUUGUUUUUUGCACGUCGAUGGAUCAUCCAACUACCAGGGAUCGAGAGUAGGCCUAGUUCUUACUACCCCGGACUGUUCGAUGCUCGAGCAGGUGAUCAUUCUAAGCUUCAAGGGGUCAAACAAUGAAGCAGAGUAUGAAGCCCUACUUGCAGGUCUCCGAUUAGCAAAAGACCUAGCGAUGAAGAAGCUCACGAUCUAUUCCGAUUCCCAGCUAGUCACCAACUAAACCUCAAGGGAGUACGUAGCGAGGCAUCCAAGGAUGGCUCGAUACCUCGAGAAGGUACGAGAGCUGCUGGCGACAUUCCAGGCGUACACACUUACUUAGGUUCCACAAGAAAAAAUGCCCAUGUAGACACACUAGCAGGCCUAGGCCCCGCCUUAGACCAUCAGCUCAAGCGCUCUCUCCUAGUCGAGUACUUGGAGAAGUCGACCAUAGAUAAGGAACCAGCAGUCGAGGUGGCGUAGAUCAACACAAAUUUGAGUUGGCAAGAUCCCAUUAUUGACUACUUAGUCAAUGGAACGCUCCCCGCAGACAGACUGAAGUCCAAGAAACUCCAGAUGAAGGCAGCACGCUACUACAUGUGGAACAACAUGCUCGUUCGAAGAUCCUUUUCAGGACCGCAUCUCUGUUGCUUAUCGCCUCCUGACGACCUAAAGAUUCUUAGCUAAAUCUAUGAAGGCGUUUGUGAAAACCAUUCAAGAGGCCACUCCCUGGUGCAAAAAGCUUUUAACUCUGGCUACUACUGACCAACCAUGCAUCAAGACGCCAAAUAGUAUGUACAAAGGUGCAACAGCUGCCAUCACUUCAAGCCCGUGCCUGCACUACUUGCCAGCAAACUUCACCCUCAAACGAGCCCUUGGCCAUUCAUGUAGUGGGCGAUGGACCUGGUAGGACCAAUGCCACCUGCCACUGGGGUUAGAGGCAUGAUGAUCGUAGCAACCGACUACUUCACAAAAUGGGUCGAAGCCGAACCCAUGACUGCAACUAUAAUACCCUGAAAAUUUUAAAAUAUAUGAUUAUAUGGAAAUUUUUUAUCGGAAAGUGAAAAGACGAAAAUGUCUCUCGUUGACUAAACGUAACUUUAUAAGGAUGUAUUUUAUCCUCAUAUACUUUAUCAUAUUUCUAAGUAUAUUUGAAUAGAGGACGACCUUACGAGCGCGUAGGUGCAAAAGAAUCCUAAUUCCGAGUUAGAACGGAAAAGUUACGAGCCUCGGAAGUAGUGAUACUUUUUAGACAUGUGGACUUACUAUUAGUAGGGAGUCUAUAAUUAGUUAGCCUGAAAUGAGAAGGUUUCCACUUCGGGAAACCUGGUGAAGAGGCCCAAAUAACCUAGAAAAACCCCCAUUUGACCUCCUGCGACCUCCCAUAUUUCGAGGUCGAUUUCGGCCAACUCAGGUGGAAUUUUUCGACGACACCACCACCAUCUCCAAGCUCUCACUCCCCUCUACAAAAUCCAACAAGAACCACCUUGAUUAGCCACCAUAUGCGGUGGUGUGAGACCAUAAAAACUGAUGAAAACCAAUAGUGCUCCAGCCACCCUUUUCAUUUUUUCCAGUGAAUCAGCAAAGUGAUGGCCGAUGCCACUACUUGGGUUUUGUAGCCCAUCAUCCUAAGAGUAAAUUCUGACCAGCUUUGAUCCCGUUGGACCACUGUGGGCGACGAAUCGGCACAGGGAAGCUUUAGGCACCCACCGGUUUUAUUAGCGUAAUUGACCCUCUUUCAUCCACUUUGGGACUUCGUGGCAGGUAUAAAAAUUGUUCCUCUUGUUGAGCUCUAUCUUCCUGUAAAUUUUGGUAGAAUUUGGAGUUAGACAAAAAAGUGGGUUUCCGAUCGUCGGAAACCACUACGCACGGUGGCGCGUGGGGGAGAAUAUGUUUAUAUGGAUUUUGGACAGUGGGACAUCCUUGAUGUCCUGAGUCCAUAUCCAAAGUCCGUUUGUUGAAAUUUGAUGGUAUGAUUAAAUAUUAAAUUUUUUUAGAUAAUUGUACCGUUGUACGAUUUAUCGUAAUUGACAACCAUUCAAUCGUUGGAUCGUCACCAAACUUUGAGACGUUAUAGUACAUAAUAUUGAAGGACCUUAGGAACUUACGGAUCGAGAAUCCUCAGUAUGGAUCUUCCCGAAUUGGAUUUGUAAGUUAGUAAAUUAAAACGUCGACCGCCAUUCGAAUGUUACGAUUGGCGGAGAUCCAACCGUUGGAUCGAAAUGAAAUUCUAGUAUGUUGUUCUAGAAGCAUAAUGUGAACUAUGAAUGACUUGAUCCCUUAGUAAGGUAAGUAGACAGUCUAAUGAGAAGGUUACAUGCAACCAUAAUAAAAUACUUGAGAUUAAUCUUUUAGUGAAAUUUGCUAAGAAAAUGAAUUUGGGGCCUAUAUUAGUAAUUAGCUUCCGAAUUAGAAAUUUCGGGUCGUUACAACAACUACCCAGACGGGCAUAAAGCACUUCAUAUGGAAGACCAUCAUCUGUUGCUUCGGCAUCCCGCACUUCAUCGUCACCGAUAAUGGUUUGCAGUUCGUGGGUAAAGACUCGGUGAAGUUUUUCAAAAAAUAUGGCAUCAAGCAGCACAUGUCCAUGCCUCGGUAUUCAUAGGGAAAAGGGUAGGCCGAGUUGUCUAAUAAGACCAUCCUCAAUUGUCUCAAGAAGUCCCUUUUAGACAAGAAGGGCAAGUGGCCAGACGAGCUUCUCGGUGUUCUGUGGGCGUAUCGCACCACCAAAAGAUGAGCAACCUGCGAAACUCCAUUCUCCCUAGCGUAUGGCUUUGAGGUGAUUAUUCCUCCCAACAUCAUGAUGCCAAGCAUCAGCACUAUAUUGCUGAAUUUCAAGCAGAACGAGAAGGAGAUGACCACAAACUUAGACCUGGCAGAGGAAGAGCAUGAGAAGGUUAUCACCUGCAUUGCGGCCUAUCAGCAUCAGCUCAUCUCCAACUACAACAAGGGGAAAAAUUCAGAAGUUUCAGCCAGGAGACCUAUCCUUAGAAAAACCUUCAUCACCGCCCGUCGGGAAGGCUCCAAAAAGAUGGCUCCUAUCUGGGAAAGUUCGUAUAGAAUCAGCUGAGUAGGCAGAAAGGUACCACCAUAAGCAACAAAAAAAUCGACAAGCAAUGGAAUGCCUACAACCUGAUAAAGUACUACGUGUGACCUUUCACCAUUCCUUGGACCCUGUUUAAGAUGAAUAAAGUUUGAAGACUCAAGCAGUUUGAUGAACAAGAUCUUGCAUACCGAGGAUUAUCAGUUGUUAUGCCAUUACUGAUUAUCAACAAAGUUAAUAAAUUUCUCUAUUUUCAAUGAAGAUUAAAGGAAUUAUUCACAAGCCUGAUCGAAUGCAUAAACAAACUGACCAACCAUGUGACAAGAAGAAGGUGCCCUUGCCCUUGCAGACAUGGCAUGUGCUAUCUAAUUAGGAGAUGGUAAACUAAUCCGGAAUGUCCAAACUUGGAUGAGUGGUAUGACUGCUCAGUUUCCCCUAUAUACAACGACUACCUGAGCCUGAUGACUCCCAUAAUUGGCCAAGAUAGUCAUUAUCUUAGAAUAGAUUUAGCCAACUAAAGGAUUCAACUCCGCAGGAUCAUGGGUUUUUAACCGGAAAAGAUGUUAAGUGCAUGACACCUGCCCAUGAAAGAAUUCGUGACUAGAUGAUCUGUCCUCAACGUGCAAGUCUUCAUGAAAGUAGCUUGGUUUUAAAAUGUUGCAAUACUAGUUAAGCGACUUGCGAGAUCAAGCUACCACUCAGAAGGAUAUGGCCUCUAAGGUGCGGUUCUGCUUACACCUUAUGCCUAAAACGCCUCCAAGAGCCAAAGACGACAUCUGAAGUGGUCAUGCGGGUCGUUUGCUUCUGUAAGGAAAACGCCCGAACGACGACCUAACGGCUGGUAGCCCAAGCCAAUCUGUAAGCCGAGACUUACAUCUGUUAUGACUACGUGGACCUGUCUGCUUAUUUAAAAACAGUGUUUCUGAUCGACAGUUUAUGGUUUAAGUUUUGUAGGAAAUAAAGCUGAAGUACAACUAUAGUGGCUAUGUGAACUUCCUCUGCUUUCUACGAGAAGCAAGUGUCCGACCGCCAACCCUAUAAGUUAAAAACUUCGCAAAACGCCCCAGGAGGGCCAAAGCUCAAAAAGCCACUAAAAUCGAAGUACGACUGUAGCAGUUACAAGGACUUCAUCUACUUUCUACGAGAAACAAGUGUCUGACCGCUAGCUCUAUAACUUAAAAACUUUGCAACACGCCCCGAAAGGGCCGAAGUUCAUGAAGCCAUUAAAGUCGAGAUUCACGACUAUAGUAGCUACACGGACUUGCCUGCUUCCUACAGAGACAACGAGUUUGGCCACCGGCUUUAUAAGUUAAAAGUCUUGCACCUUUUUUCCUUUUGCAGACAAAGCUCUAGAAGCCCCAAAGCCAAAACUGAAGCCUAAAGACGACGAGGGAUCGACUGCUCUAUCGAAGUAGUUAACACAACCGCCCAUCUUACGACAAAGUUUUACAGGUCGCCUCAAGUAGGCAAGUCUCUUGAAGCCUAGAAGCCGAAACUGAAACCUAAGUAAUGACGUGGGAUCGAUUGCUUCAUUGAAGCAGCUCACCCAGCCGCCUAUCUUAUGGUAAAGUAGAUGAACUGGAGAAAUGGAGAAAGUCUCGAAGUCAUUCUCGAAAAACUCAUAAUCCGACGGCCUGCCUUGAAGAUGGUCUACAUAGCUAAACUUGUAGAAAUCAGCCUGACAAGAUGCAAGCGCCACUUCGUGACCAACCUUCUCAUUCUUUAGCUGCACAUUCUCUUCAAUAAGCCUAGUGUGAGCACCCUACAACUUAUCCAGUUCCUUUUUCAGGUUCUCGCUAGCAGACAACACACUUUGCAGAUCCACUUCCUUAGACUCAAACUUAUUGGCAACAUCCUUGAGACAAGACAUUUCAGCAUGCAUGAAGACAAACUCCCUGUCCUUGGCAAAACAAGUGGAUCAUAGCUUAGAGUUGACACACUCAAGGUCCUUGACCACCAGAAAAACACGAUUGACUUACUUUUUUGCAACUUCCAAGAUUGCAUGAGUCGCACUAAGCUUAGCCUUCAAAUGGGUGACCUCCUGAUGCGCGGUCUCCAGUUGCAUAGAAGUGGGGGUAGAGACAUUAGACCUCUUCAAAACACCACUUCGGCCUCCUUAGCACACUUGACAGUAUCCUAAUCAACAUGCAUAGACUCAGCUGCCAGGAUCAAAGUCUUAUGCAUCGUGGCAAUCUGGGAGGACCUCAUCGAGUAGUUGGGACGCUUCGCAAAAGAGUUUGACUGGAUGACAACUUUCUCGACACUGUCAACGAACUUGGCACAUGCAUUAAUGUCCUCAAGCAGGUCAGCCUUUAGAAGCGCACAAACCUCGGGAAACUUUCCAGCCUCAAACUUUGUUGACCUCUCACAACUGCCUGUGUGAGCAUAUUUCCUUAUCUCAGCAGACACAAUCACAGCAGAGGGAAGAACAGGCCCAAGCGACACCUUAGCAGCAUAAUCCACCUUUCUGCUCUUCAUAAUGACGAGCCUUUCAGAAGCUAAACCGGACUUAGCUCCCGAUGUGCGCUUCGACAUAAACCCAGACACCGGGGCACCACCGAACCUUUUCACUAGGCAAUCUUCUCAGUAAUGGUUGUGGCCACCUUCAGAGAAGCAGGUUUCAUAGGCUCAGACUCAACGAAAUUUUUUGUCCGGGAGGUCAGAUUAAUGAUAAGCUUCUCAGUAGCAAACGAGCUUGUGAGAGCAGCAAAAGAAGUCAUUGGCUUCUUCUCGGCCGAAGGCUCAUGAGCAGGUGAAAAAGAUUUCUUCUUUCCACCCUCAUUGGCAACAGGCUCUACAACAGUGAUCAGAUGAGCAAACGCUUCAUCAUUUAUUUGUUUUAUCUCUUCAUUUGGAGGCAGCCUACUUUUCUCCCAACGAAGAAGGCUGAGCAACCAACGCCACUCACGGUACUUAGCAGGAAUGCCCAAGGCGAUAUGCACUUUCUUCAUAUCUGCUGAAGUUCUUGGAGUUGAGCCAAGAAUGAUCAAUAAACUAAAGUCAUAUAGCUGCUCAACAAAAAUUCAAGCAGGCCAAGGAUGAAGCAAUUCACUUACCACUGAUAAAGACAGUCUGAACGUGCAACUCAAGAGAAGAGUCAACCUCCUAAUCUCCAUUUACCUCCAAGGUGUCCCUCACCCACUCGUGAUCACCUUUGCAGGGAGCAUCAAGCAACCUAUGGCGAGAUCUCAGCUACCCCACGCUUUCUCUGUGGCUGAUUUCAAAGAAGUACCAGAACUCACUUAUGGUCAAGCUAAGAUCAAAGAACCUAAUUAAGUUUAAGAACCCCACUAUUGCACGAAUUGCAUUUGAGGAACACUGAGCAGACGCGCAUCUCAUGGAGCAGAUCACCUCCUGGAAAAGACGUGGCAUAGGAAAAGUAAAUCCCAACACGAAGCAAUACGGAUGGAAUUUGAUAGCCCUCUUCCUAGUAGUGGCAUAUUCGCCGCACGGUUCAUGGUCGCUAUCAUCAUUCACCUGCUUGACGCAAACCCUAGAUGGAAUCUCAUGCUUGUACGCCUUAAGAAAAUCCCGAAACAGCUCAUCAAAAUUAAUCUUGACAUGCGCAGCCUUGAAAUAGCCCACCUUGCUGGAAGAACCACCUUGACUGUACAAAGGUGGAUGAUACUCGUCCCUUUUGUGAUCGAAGGAAGACAUCUUAAAGUCCCUGUAAAAAGUAUGAAGAAAACUAUUUAGAAGGUAACUCGCGAGAAAAGAAAAAAAAAUAUAAAAAUAAAAAGGACCAUAGAGCCUAGCGCCCUAGCGCUAGGUCCCACGACCCAGCUAAUCCACACGGCCAAGCCACAAAAUGGCCCAACCCUCAGUCUCUUUCUUCAACACGUGGCCCAAACCGCUCCAGCCCAAGAUGGAAGGAGGCCCACGCUUCCCUAAUCUCUUCCUCUUUCGAGUGCCCAGCACUCCAAGAUAGGCCCAGGCCUCUCGACCCAAGCCACCAAGACCCAAAAGCUGGCCCGAGUUGGUCUCUCCUACUCUCUUACCUCAUGCCCACACGGGCCCAAUAGCCCACGGCCCAGUCCACUUGCGAGUGAGGUGAGUGCCUCGCGCUUCUUUCCCUCUUUCUUACUCUCUAGCGGGCCCGGGCCUAGCAUUGCGCCCCUGCACCCUCAGCCUUUUUCAAGCCAUCGUUUGGCCCACACCAACCAUGCACCAAGCCUACCUCGCGCCACCAGCACCUUGGCCCAAGCCGAGUCGACCCCAUGCCACGUUGGCUACUGUGCAUAACAGCCUCGUGGCACCCUUGCCACGUGUUUCACACCUCCUUGGCCCCUGAUUAGGCAAUUUUUCAAGUCCCAAGACUCCCAAAAAAAUUCAAGAAGAAAAAAAUUCAAAUUUUUCUUACCGUGGAACGACACGGAGAAGAAGAACUACAACGAGAGACGACUCUUUGCAAGGGCAAUGGAAGAAGAAAGCUAAGGGAGGGGGAAUAACAUUUCCUCUAACUUCUCUUCCUUGUUAGAAUAAUGAUUGUUCUCCAAAUUUAUUUAAUCCCCUGCUUAUGGAAGAAUUCAAUAGGUAUUGGGGACAAUUGGUUUUCUUUUCCUUGAAGAAGUCAAUCUCUAAAUCAAGGAAAAAGAUCAAGAUCAAAUUGGGAAACAACUCUAGAAGCCUAUGCAGCUUGGGAUUUCUACACCUACUGCCCUUUUCCGACAUGCAGCCCAGCAGGUGUAGGGGCAUUUGUGGAGCCUAAAAUAAUCCCAAAAAUUCUAGAGGUGGCACGUAGGUUUUUGCUCAAGAAAGACAAAAUUGCCCUCAACAAAUGGGCAAGCUUCUCAGAUGCUCACACCCCUGAAGGUCUCAUUAGCUAAAUACGACCGCCCACAGCUCACCUGUCAUUGGCAAGGAAAAGUCAAAGCAUUAAAGAUAAUGAUUAAUUACCCAAAUCCUAUCUUUAAUACAUUCCUAAUUGAAAAUUGACUCCAAUCAAGUAAGUAAUCCUAAUUUAAAUCAAUUAGGGAUAAUUACUCCAUUAUCUCAAGAUAUUAUUUCCUAUUUAAUAUCUUUAGAAUAUUUCUCCAUAAACCCUAACACUAUGGCCGGCCCAAUACCUAUAAAUACCUCAUAUUCUACCAAAUUUUGGUAAACUUUUGCUACCCUAUAAAAUGCCCUAAACACUUUAUUCUCCUCAGAGAAACUGGCAUAGGCAUUGGAGAUCCAUUGGCCUAACCGCCACCCUACCUCGUGGGCGCAUGAGGCUUAGGUCUUUGAUCAAAGGUUUUAAUUGUUAAUUUGCAUCGACAAAUUGGUGCUUCAUUGAGAGCUGAUUCAUAUACUCGAAAAAGACUCUUGCAUUUGGUUUCUUGAAUUUUCUGUUACGUUGAAUUUCUCACACGUCAUAGGGGACAGCCUAUAAACACUUUUAUUUUUAAUUUUUAAUUUUUUAAUAUUUAUGUGGGCACCUAUGACACGUGGCGCCUAGUCACUGUCCACGUGAGUGCCACGUCACCAAUUAACGGCUAAUUUAACAGCAAACUUAACGGAUGUAUGAAAGUGUCCCAAAAUUAUGACUUUAUGUACAACUCUGGGAUGAAAAAAAACGUCAUGUGUUAAAUGUUGAAAAUCAAGAAACUUCAGGGUAGUAAACUGAGAUUUACCCUAAAGGUAAAUAUAUAGGGCUACACAACGUACUAACAAAUAUGAAAUAUAGUAAAGAAUUAGAAUAGGACUAUAUAAUGUGUAAUAAGUUAGGUCAUCUCCAACCAAAAAGACUAAACAUAGUCCCAUCCAGAAUUAUAGUCUUGCAAAAAAAAAAUUUAUUUAAAAUAAAUAGUGUUAGGUCAUUUCACAUACCAUCUCCAAGCGAAAGGGCUAAACAUAACCUCCUCACUAAUUUAUUAGUUUUAAGUUUAUACUUUAAAUUUAUUAGUUAAUUUAAUUAAACUAUCAUUGAUUGUUUUCAAAUUUAACUGUUAAACUUAAAUAAAUUAUUACAAAUAAGGAGCUGGGCCCUAAAAAAGGGCUAAGAGGGACUACAUUUGGCCAACAUGAUGCCCCCUUGGCUAAAUAGUGGUUUGGUGGGUUCUAGAGAAUUAUAGCCCCAACCAUUGGUUGGAGAUGAGUUUUUUAGCAAAUCAGACCAUUUUAAAAUGUAACUCAAAACGUAACAAAAGGAAUAGAUUCAAACUGAUUGUGUGCUAAGAAAAUGACUCCUAUCAAGUUGAAGAGAAAAUUUUCAAGUAGCUGGUAGCUCCACAUAAGAUUGAUAGCUAGUGUACCCGAGCAACAAGAGAUGGACACAUGACUUUUAACAUUUUUUCUUUAAAUACAUAUGAACACGUAUUCCAAAACCAAGAAAACUUCAGUCAAAUGUCAAGCAUUCAUCACCUAUUUCCUUUCCACUAUCCAUGGCAUCGUCGGACCCACCCCAAAUCCCGACGACAUCAUCGGAAUACAAAGCCUUGCCGACUUCUUCCUCUUCACCUGCAUCACUAGACACCCUGGACCCGAACGCGACAACCGAUCGACGGCUCCGGGAUCUGAAUUAGAGAAACUCUGUCAAACUGCUGCCGACGAUGAAUACCUGUCUAUCCUCGGUUUUGUCCUUGCUCCGAUGGACUUCCACUGCCCUUUUAUGGAGAUCCAAUCAGUUGAGAAAUUAAAGGAAAAAAAUUGCAUUUUCUUAAAAAACUCACUGCAAUCUGCUGCCAUGUAUUCUUCUUAAAGAUCAAAACAUUUAUACUAUGCAUAAAUUCAUGAAUGUUUGAAAUUGUGAAAAACCCAGCUAAAAAAAAUUAAAAAAUUCGAGCAAAAUGCUAAAGGGAAUUGAGAAGAUCUACUCAGAGGCCAUGAUACCCGUUAUCUUCUCAGUCAUGGAGCCCACCGUUUUGGAAGUCACAGAAAUUGUUUUAAUUGAAAAAGAAAGCAAGUCACGUGCCUGCCUGUAAUUGGCUUGGUACUCCAAGUCAGGUUGGGUUCCCAGAGUCCAGAAAAAUUUCAGUGAAUUAAGUGGAGAACUGGCAUGAUAUUGGUUCUUUUUUUAUGCCUAGAAUUUAAGGAUUUUAUAUAUUUCAAAGGGCAUUGGUAUUAAUUAGUUAGGGAUAUAAUAAAUACACAUUUUUAGCCUUUUUAACACCCCUAUUUAAUCAUGGGCGUUGUUAAUGUAUAAAAUUCGAGUAAUGUUAUUCAUACCAUGUUUUUAUACCAUAUUUCUAUACCACCUUAGGUGGCAUCUUAUGUGGAUAACCACAUCAUUUGAAAAAUUUGCAAAACCUAAGGAAAGGAAGGAGAAAGACUCAUCGUAUAUCACAAUCAUCAUUUAAUUAACUAGUUUUUCUUAAUUAUUAGUUCAUUAAAUAAUGAGCUAAAUUUAAAAAUCUGAUUAAUUCAAAUGAUGUGGCUAUCCACAUCAAAUGCCACCUAAGGUGGUAUGAAAAGGUGGUACAAAAACAUGAUAUGAAUAGUAUUACUCAUAAAAUUCACUUCCUUUUAUUAGUUAUUGUAUUUUUAUUAGGUUAAUUUCCUACCACUAGUGGGGAGUUGGAAAUGGAUGCAGACAUGGAAGGCAUAUUACUGGAUGUGCACCAUAUGGCUAGACAGUUGGAGUGUAUCGAGUUCUCUUACUGUUGAGAAUGAAUCUCACAUUGAUGAGAGGAAGGAUCUUGCAUGUGCUUAUAAGUAGUUGGACUAUUCCUCCUAUUGCUAAUUGGUUUUAUGAUAUGAUGUAUUAUAAACUAGCACUCAAAUUAAACCCUCUUAUUGACAAUUGUAGUACAGAUGUAAGUAGGGAUCGUUCUAGGCCAGAGAUUAGGAGGGAUUGCUAAUCUACUUAAUACUGACUCAAAAACACAAAACUAGGCUUGAAAACACUUAACUAGACUCAAAGAACUCGAAACAAACUAAAGAGACUCAAAACAACACAAAAUAAUCAAAUAGACUCAAACUAGACACUAAAGGGUGAUUUGAACGAAAAUUAAUUUUAACUUGACUUAAAACACUUAAAAACACAAGUUUGGAUAGAUUCUAACUAAUUUGACACAACAAAGUAAAGGGGAUUAGAUUUUUGACGAAUUUAAACUAAAGACAAGUAGAUUAAAGACUUAAACAAGUUUGGCAUGAAAUUGGGGGAAAUUAUGGGUGAUUGGCUAGCUAGAGGGUUCUUCUCCACACAUGACACACUUGCAUACAAAUCGAUUUCUAGUUGCUUUUCCAAUAAACCAUGAACCUCAACGCCCCAGAUUAACCAUGAACAACACUAAUUAACCCUCAGAUUUUUCUUAAGUCAUUGAAUUGGAUGGAUAACGCAUCAGCAACCAAAUUAUUCUUCAAUAGUUCCCUACAUGAACAACAUAAUAGAGAUACAAUCAAAGAUCAUUAAGUUUUGUGAAAAUCAUAAGCGUUGACAAGACAUUCGUAACUAUGAACAACAUGAUUCUCCUGCCAGGAAUUUACUUAACACGAUUGUGACUAGCAACCUCUACUACUUAUGAAUAUAAGUUCAUAACAAUUAGGUAAAACUCCCUUAUAUUCUAGCAUCAAAUUCAUGCAUGCAAACUAAGUAUGCAUCCUUAAUCAACAAACAAGAAUAAGUUCUGAAUCAAACAGUUAAAUAAAUUGCAUUCAUGAUUUAUGAAAUCACAACUGGAAGUAAUCAAUUCAUAUUGCAAAUGUGUUCAUGGCUUUGAAUUCUCCUCUAGCUAAAACGAGUUUAGCUCCUCAUGUUCACAAUUAAACAAAGAUAACUUAAAUUAAACAUUGAAAACAAAAGAUGGAUUACACCUAAAAACGUUUCAGCAAUCCAACAAUCUUGAAUGGCAGGCACGACUCUAAGCUAUCCUCUCAUUCCUUGCAAAAUUGUGGCACAAGGGUGUGAAUGAAUGGUUCUGUGGAUUGGAUGAUUGGUGUGAACUAUGAUAAAGGAUGGGGGGUUGGUCCUGAAUGGUGCGGCACAAUGUUAUAUUUAAAGGGAAAGAUAGCUAAAAUCCUAAUUAAUUUUGGAGACAGAUUUGUACACCAAAUCCUCAAAGAAGAAGGGUAAUUAAAUGUCAGAAUUCAAGGGAGAAAGGGAAAGAAGAUAUGCGGCAGGAUCCUAGAGGGAAAGGGACAAGGCUUGCACGGCAAGGAAGGGUUUCUAGAAGGGGAGAUGCGGCACCUUUUAAGAUUAGGGAAAAGACCUUCUAGAAGCCUGAUUUAGGUUUCCCAAUGUCAUUUAGAUUUCCCCCUUUCAGCUGGAAAUUAGGAAAAGCUAAGGUUUGGAUAAUGUUUCCUUUUUCUUGCUAAUUCCUUGAUUUCUUUUGUCUUGAAUUUAUUUCCUUCAUUUCCUUGCUCAUUCCUAGCCUCCUUUGAACUUCAAAUUCGUCCAUCCACCUUGCUCCAAGCAUGUGUUAUCCAUUCCAAGCCCAAAACUACUCCAAAAUGCUCCAAAUUGCACUUUCUUGCUACUUUAGCCCUUUGGACCUACAAACACACGAAAAUAGCUUAAAAUACUAAAAUAACUAGGAACUAACAACAUAAAUGCAAGAAAACAAGCUAACUAAGUCGCAAAAAUAUGCUCCUAUCAUGAUAGAACCCCGAUUUCUUCAUGGUUUCAGAGCAAAUUGUCCCACGUGUGAAGUCUAACGGCCACACGUGCUAUACGUCGCCUGAGUUGUGUUGUACACGUGUGAAGCCUAACAACCACACAUGCUCCACGUCAAUGAGUUGUGUUGUUCACAUAUUAGACUUGGAAAUUUAUCACACGUGAGGCGACGCAUUGAGAAUGAAACCCACACUGAUGAGAAGAGAGACCUUACAUGUGCUUAUAAGUAGUUGGGCUAUUUCCCAUAUUGCCAAUUGAUUUAUGGUGGAACCCCAACUUCUUCACUUACAAUUCACGUAAUCGAGUUCUCUUGCUCAAGAUGUAAACAUUUUAAUAAAACUUAAUAAAAUUCCGUCGUUUGACAAAAAAGCUCUUUUUAAAUGUUUUGUAAUUUGAUAGAGUGAGAAGUUUUCUUCUUUACUUAUUUCUCUUUACUCAAAAUCCAUAAGAAUUAACAAAGCCAUAUACUCACCCUAAAAAAAAUUAAAAAAAUGCAUAGCCAUAUACUCGAGGAGAAGAAGUCAACAGCAAAGGAAAUUAUCAAUUUUGAAGAUUUCUUUCAUUUUCUAGAUCCGCAGCACAUUACGCCAAAGUACGAGCUAGCAUUGUACACACCCCAUAAGUCCACCCAUACCACCGAGAUAUUUUUAAUGUACCUGAAGCACAAGUUGGUAUCUCAUGUGUAUCAUAAUAUAAGUGGAGAGAUAAUCUAUUUUUCAAUGUCUUUCUACUUGUAUUAUGACACAUAGUGUAUUAGUUUGUGUUCUCGGUACAUUGAAAAAUUUCUCCGUAGUACCAUAGCCAGACUCACAGCAGAGAGUGUAUAUAUAUGAGCUACCAUUGAAGACUUCCGCCUAAGUGGGGAAGCAUCAAUUGUUUGGUUUUCAUUCCAAGUCUUAUUUACAUUAAGCCAAAGAAUGUUUCAAAAUCCCGGAAUUUAGAUGGGACCACGAAUUCAUUACAUAAAUGGACUAAACACGCAAAACACUACGUACAAAUUCUUCAAACCAUAUGGAAUUUCCAAGCUAUUGACUAUUACUCAUAUGAAAGCAUAAUUCAUCACCUUAUUAUUUGAAUUAAACAAAAUAAUUCUUAUAUUCAGAUGUGAAAUUCAAAGUGUGAUCCUUUUCCCAUAAAUGUUGACUUACCAGUUAUAAAAAGUCAAUCACGAUGGGAUAGACUCGUUCGUUCCUCGUCAAGAGGCCGGGCCGACGCGUCAAAGACUCCAUGCCAACAAGUCUUUAAUUUGUUGCUCUUUCUUUACUCUUGAGCUUUGGCCUUCUUUAUUUAUAGGCUUCAGUUCUUGGUAUAUCCUACAACAAUAACACAAUCCGGUAGAAAGACAAAGAGAGAUGGAGAGCAAGGUGGUGAUUGUUUUCGGUGUGAUUGUGGCAGUGUUGUUGCACAGUGUGGCAGCGCAGACAGUACAUGUGGUCGGAGGUAGCAUAGGUUGGACCAUCCCUCAAUCCGGUGCACAAGAGUAUGUGUUGAGUUUUGGUUUCAAUAUUUGUUGUAUAUUUCAUUAUGAAGAUUACAAGAGAGUGAAGGCAACUCUUAUAGAGAGCCAAAAGAAAGCUACAAUAGAUUGUAGGAUAACUACACAAACACAAUCUCUAAAAUCUGCCCUAACAAGUGGAAAAGCAAAAACCAAAUUACAAGUAAAGAAGCUUUUACAAGCAACUAAGAAAGGUUGAUGUAAGGUGAAUAACAAGCUAUGGAAAGUGACUGGUGAAUGACAAGCUAUGGAAAGUGACUUUAGCCUAUGACUUAGCUAAAGUGAGGAUGACAACUCAUACAAACAACUCAUCCAUACAAAACCGGUUUCAAUACACCCCCUCAAGCUGGAUCAAGGGGAUUGAUUGAUCCAAGUUUGCACAACAAACGUUGAAACUGAGUAGAGUCUAGUGCUUUUGUGAAUAAAUCAGUAAGUUGAUCGUGGCUGCGUGUGAACACGGUGUCUAUCACCUUGGAUUGAACCUGAGCACGAAUAUAAUGGCAGUCAACUUCAAUAUGUUUGGUCCUUUCAUGGAAUAUUGGAUUGGAGGCAAUGUGCAUGGCAGCUUGGUUAUCACAAUACAAGGACAUAGGUGCCAUGCUUGUGAAUCUGAGCUCGGAAAGAAGACCUUUCAACCAUAUGAGUUCACAUGUUGUUGCUGCUAUAGCCCUAUACUCAGCUUCAACACUAGAUCGAGCAAUAAUAGUUUGUUUCUUGCUCUUCCAAGUGACAAGGUUCUCUCUAACAAAUGUGCAAAAACCUAUUGUGGAUUUUCGAUCAAGGGCAUUUCCAGCCCAGUCAUCCAUUGUUCCUCAUAAUUAUCCCCCUUCCUACUAAGCCCUUAAGAUAUCGAAGUAUUCUCUUGACGAUUUCCCAGUGAACUAGAGUAGGAGAGUGCAUGAACUGACUGGCUAGGCUAACUGAAUAUGAGAUAUCAGGCCUAGUAAUGGUGAGAUAAAUAAGUUUCCCAACCAUUCGCUGAUAAACACUAGGGUCCGAAAGAGGUUCACCUUUUCCAUGCCAUUGAAGUUUGCUAGCUAGGGGUGUCCGAGCUGGUUUACAUUCCAUCAUGUUAGCUUCAUCUAGAAGAUCAAGAACAUACUUUCUUUGAUUCAAGAACAAUCCCUUUGAAGAGGUAGCCACCUUAAUUCCAAGAAAGUAUUUCAAGGGCCCCAAGUCUUUAAUGGAAAUUUUUUGGUGAAGUGACUGCUUAAGCGUCUUGAUUUCACUUAUAUUGUCACCUGUAAUAAUUAGGUCGUCAACAUAUAUAAGCACAACCAAUUUGCCAGCAAUACUACUUCGAACAAAUAAAGAAGAGUCAACAUGACUCCUUUUGAACCCUGCAGCUUCAAGGACUGAACUAAGCUCUGAAUACCAAGCUCGAGGGGACUGUUUGAGACCAUAUAUGGCUUUGUGAAGUCUGCAGACCUUGUUGGGUUCAUUUUCUCUUGGGUGACCAGGAGGCAACUUCAUGUACACUUCUUCUUUAAGAUCCUCAUGAAGAAAUGCAUUCUUCACAUCCAUUUGGAAUAAGGGCCAUGCAUUAUUGACUGCCACAGACAACAAUACCCUCACUGUGUUCAUUUUGGCAACAGGAGCAAAGGUCUCCUUAUAGUCAAUGCCAUAGGUUUGAGUAAAGCCUUGAGCUACUAACCGUGCUUUGUGUCUUUCAAUGCUUCCAUUGGAGUUGAAUUUGGUCUUAUAUAUCCACCUACUUCCCACGAUCUUCUUGCCAUUUGGAAGAUCCACCACACUCCAUGUCUGGUUAUCAUUAAGAGCUUGAAGCUCUUUAGUCAUAGCAUCUUGCCACUCAGGCAUGCAUGUGGCUUCAUGAAAAUUCCUUGCUUCGAAAGUGUGAGACAAUUUGUUAAGGAAAGAAGUAUGAGAAUAUGAGAAUCUGUGAUAAGAAAUGGCUGCAGAGAUAUGAUGCCUUGCAGUGUAAGUAACAUACUUUUGUAACCUCACUGGUGGAUGUCUAUCUCGUGUAGGAUUUCUUCUUGGUGCACUUAUAGCUUGCUGAUUUGGUUGAGCUUCUGAUGGUCCAAAGGAGCUUGGCACUGCAUCAAUUACACUCUCAGUGAGUUGAGAAUUAUUAGUGCUGAUAUGAGCAGGAGUGACUUCAUGAAUUUCUGCUGGAAUAGGUAGUGGAAAUAGGUCCAUAAGAUCUUCCAUAUUAACAUUAGUCUCCAACCCUUUGUGGAAAUAAGGUGAAUAUUCAUCAAAUCGCACAUCUCUAGAGACUGCUAGCUUCCCCGUGUUAGGGUUGUACACUUUGUAACCCUUUUGAGAACUGGUAUAUCCCAUAAACACACAUUUGGCAGCUCGACGGUCGAGUUUGUCACGAUGGAGAGCUUGAAUGUGCACAUAACAAGUACAACUAAAGGUCCUGAGGUGAGACAAGUUUAUAAGCCUGCCCUUCAUGACUUCAAAAUGAGAUUUAGUAUUCAACACCCGAGUUGGUAGUCUAUUAAUGAUGUACGUGGCAGUGAGUAGGGCUUGAGACCAAAAUUUCUUAGGAACAUUCAUUUGGAUCAUAAAUGAUCAAGUCUUCUCCAAUAAGUCUUGAUUCUUUCUCUCUACCACACCAUUUUGUUGUGGUGUACCAACACAGCUAGUUUGAUGCAAAAUGCCAUGAUUGCUCAAGUAAUUACUCAUGUUAUUAGAAGUGUACUCAGUACCAUUAUCUGAUCUUAACAUAUAUAACUUAGAUGAAAAUUGAUUGGUGAUUAGAUUGUGAAAGUCCUUAAAAGCAUCAAACAAAUCACUUUUAAGUUUUAAAGGAUACAACCAGGUUACUCUAGAAUAGUCAUCAAUAAAUGUAACAUAAUAUAUAUACCCAUCAAAGGAUUCUACACGAGAAGGACCCCAAAUAUCAGAGUGAACAAGCUAAAAAAGUUUACUAGUUCUAGAAUUAGAGGAAACAAAAGGAAGUCUAAUGGCUUUUGACAUUUGACAAGUUUCACACUCUAGUGUGUUUUUACAAAAAAAAGGGAAACAACUUGGUCAUCACAUGUUCUGAGGGAUGGGCAAGGCGUUGAUGUCAUAGUUGGUGUUCCUGAACUUGACUUAAGUUGACACUGAGCUUUUUGAAAAAUUGGACUCCUUUGAGAGAUAGUAGAGUCCAUUCAAGAAGAACCCUUCACCAAUCUUUUUCUGAGUAACUCGGUCCUGAAACACAACAGUGUGAGGGGAAAAUAUGGCAAGACGGUCUAAGGUUUUUGUGAUUUUUCCUAUUGACAAGAGUUGAAAAGGAAAAGAAGGUACAUAGAGAGCAGUGGAAUCAGUAUGCUCACUUAGCAAUCUAAUCUUUCCGUUCCCUAGAAUAGGUUCCUCUUUCCCAUUUGCAAUAGAUACAUGAAUUAGAUCAAUAGUUCUUUGAAAAUUGUGGAAACUAGAGGGUUUAUUAGUUAUAUGAUCAGUGGCACUGGAGUCAAUAAUCCAAAAAUCAUGUGUAACAUUUGCAUUAAGAGCAGUGGAAAUGGCAUUGAUAAUACCUGGAAUAUUGCCUUUCGAUGUGUUCUCCGAGUCAUCCAAGAAUCCAGCAAAUUUCCCUAGCAUUGCAGUAGGGUUUUCAGGUGUCAUUUCAUCAGGUUCAGUGCUUCCUUGCUUCUUUUGAAGAAAAACAACAAACUCGUUGAUCAAGGACACAUGAUUUGUUGAGAAAUUGGCCAUCCCAUCAGUUGAGGAACAAGCUGAAUGAAAUGCUUUUGGAGUGACUCCACCCUUCCCAUCUUUGAUCAUCCUGCCUUCCCUAUCAAACUUAGGCUUUAACUCCAGAUGAAGAAUCCAACAUUUUUCUCUCAAAUGUCACUUCAUGUCGCAAUAAGAACAUUUCCAGCCUGCUUUCUUGCCAAGCACCUUAUCACCAGUUGCUUUGUGAUUUGUCGUGAAAACCCUAGCUUCAGAGUUGGAUUUGGGCUCAACGUUCAUCACUCUUUUUCGAGUUUCCUCUAUCUGGACUGCAUGACACACACUGGUAAAAGAGGGCAGCUCUUGAGUCAUUAACAAGUGACUACGCAGGUCUUCAUACUCCGCUCCCAAGCUUGCUAAGAGUUGAAACACCUUGUCUUCAUCAGCCCUCUUCAGUAGCACAGUGGAAUCAGUUGUGUGUGGACGAUACAUAUCGAGUUCAUUCCACAUGGAUUUCAUACUUCCAAGGUGUUGAACAUAGGAGUGAUCACCUUGCUUUAAACUAGCCACACUCUUCUUCAGUUGAAAGAUGCGAACUGAGUUGUUUUGGCUGCCAUACAUGUCUUUGACAGACUCCCAUAGGAGAAGGGAAGACUCUGAGUAACUGAAAAGCUCAGACAGUUUUGGCCCUAUGGAGUUAAGUAAUCAGGACAUGACCAGCUGAUCAAUAGCAUGCCAUGCAUCAUAAGUUGGUGAAGUGGAUUCUGGGGGCUCAGAGCUUCCAUUGAUAAACCCUAGCUUUAAUCUUCCUCCUAGAGCAAGUGACACAGCUCUUGACCAAGGAAGGUAGUUGAACUCGUUCAGUAUCACCGAGCAGAGUCGUUAAUUUGGAUUGUUCUUAACCCUUUGGGUUAAGUUUGGGGAGGAGGAUGAGGCACUGUCGGCACUAGACACAUUUUCUUCUGCCAUCUCUAUCGAUGAUGAGCAAAUGAAGAAGUAAAAAAAAUGAACAGAGUCAUGACCCUAUAGUUCCUGCUCUGAUACCAUAUUGAGUUUUGGUUUCAAUAUUUGUUUGUAGGAUAACUACACAAACACAAUCCCUAAAAUCUGUCCUAACAAGUGGAAAAGCAAAAACCAAAUUACAAGUAAAAAAGCUUUUACAAGCAACUAAGAAAGGUUGAUGUAAGGUGAAUGACAAGCUAUGGAAAUUGACUGGUGAAUGACAAGCUAUGAAAAGUGACUUUAGCCUAUGACUUAGCUAAGGUGAGGAUGACAACUCAUACAUACAACCCAUCCAUACAAACCGGUUUCAAUAGUAUGUCACUUGGGCUGCAAGCAACAAGUUCAUGGUUGGCGAUACUCUAAGUAAGCUUCCCAUCUCUUCUAAUUUCCAUCGUCUUCUUUAUUAAGUUAAUAACUUCGUGAACUCAUUAUUGAACUCAUGGUUUGCGAGUUUGUUGUCCCUAAUUUGUGUCUUCUUUUAUGUCUGCAUUCUAAUUUUUUUACAUGUGUCUCUCAACUUAAUUCCAUAUUUAACAAGCAGCAAACAACCAUCUAAACUCCAACGAUAAAUUUUUCAUUAUGACCGGAAUACGGGUUGUACACCACGUAUAUUUAUAUAAGUGGUCGAAAAUUUUAUAUUUUAAGUUAAUAAUUUUUUAACAUACAUAUCAUACCAUUUUUAUAGUGAAACAUGGUGUAUCAUCCCAUGUUCUUGUUAUAUCUCAAACUCCAACGCCAAAACAUGUCGACAACCACCCACACCAAUCAGACCAUCAUGUCAGCGACGCUGCUCCUUAUAGCUGUCAAAAAAUAAAAAUUUUCUAUUUCUCUCGAUCCUUCUACAUAUAUAGUGAAUCCACGAUUAUUACCAUUCAACAAGAUCACAUGAUUAUAAUUAUCAAAUGGAAUUUCAAUUAAUUUCCGUUAGCCUUGAAGUUAUUAAGUAACUAUCCAUCACUCAAGUUUUCUUACAUUUGAUGUUUCUUAAAUAUUUUCCAGUUUCUAACUUCGCCACAAACGCACACGAUGUACAAGAAGUACCCAAAGCAUCAUUCGACUCGUGUAGUUCGGAAAACCCAGUUAGCACAGCUAUCACAACUGGCCCAGCAAACAUCACUCCCACCUCUUCUAGCGACCACUACUACAUUUGCACUUAUGGCCGUCAUUGCCAGUCGGGCCAGAAGCUAGCCAUCACCGUCUCAGCUGCUUCCCCAGGCGCAUCACCUUCUGUGCCACCACCGCCCUCUACCAGUAACACCCCUCCAACUACCCCUUCCCCCACAUCAAAUGACCCUGCUGCUUGCGCACCAGUCCCUGCUCUAUCACCAUCCAUGAAUGGGGGAGUACCCACUGUGAACAUCACCCCGGGGUCUCAGCCUCCUCUGGAUUCUUCUUCACCUGCUGUUUUGGCUAGUUUCACCUUGUCGGUCACGGCUCUUGUCGCAGGCUUGUUCUUUUAGUUACCGUGAAGACAUCGACAGACUUAAUUAAUUACUAUAUUGAUGAUCCAAUCAUUUUUUAUAGUCUUUCUUGAUAGUCCCAGGUAAAUUGUAUUUGAUUAGUCUCUUUCGUUUUAUAAUUUUGUAUCGGUUGUGUAUAAGAAUCCCCGUGAUGAUUCUUUUUAGUGUACUAUCAAUAAAGAAAUUCUUCUGUUCAAAAUUCUGUUAUGCAAUAAAGAAAGAAGCAAUGUUUCUUUGCCAAAUGGUCCCAUAGUCAAUGCUAAUCUUAUGACACAUUUGUAAUAUGGCUUGGAAUUCUGUUAUGGCUAACUACAUUUCAUACCAUUAAGGUUUGUGGAGAUUUCUAAAAUGGACCAUGAAUAAUAUUUUCAUUUUAGUUAGAAUACGAUGAUGCCUAAAACCCGAAAGGUUACAAAUGAGUGACCAACCCUACUACAAUGUAACAACUCGAAUAUAUAAGUUACAAGUUGGCCUUAGAUGGAUGUUUGGAUCGUUAGGUCUGGAUCCAUUGCCUUCUUGUUAAACUUGGAAAAACGAAAUGUUCGAAUCUUUUUUCUUUGAAAAAGAAGAAAAAGUCACAAAAUUGUUAAGCUUAACUGACCAUGGUAUUAGUGGCAGAUGUUAGCAUAAACAUAAAACCAAGAACAAGUAAGAUGAACUACUAUGAACAAAACACAAACCACAGUUCAUAAACCAAUGUAUAGACAAUACCUACAGAUGAACUCGAAGAAGCAGCCAUGUCUGAUUUCUGCAAGGAGAUUGCAGUGCACAUUCUCCUCUCUUCAGUAAUCGAUUGUUCUCUUAACUGAUAAUAUGUCUUAGUCCAGAAUAAAGCGUAUUAACUAUGAGAGCAGAGGCCACUAUAUAUACACAACAUAAUCCUUGCCAAAUUUUAUAAGGAUUCCCCUAUUAGAAUCCAUAUAGAAAACUAAUUCCUUCCAAAUAGCAGUUCAGUAUAAUAUAGAUUACAAAUCCAUUCCGAAUAAGACUUUCCAUUCAAUCUAACCAAGUUCACAAUUCAUACUCAUGCUCAUAUUCUUACAUUCUCCCACAUGAGCAAGUAUGAACCAAAUAAACUAGUUCGAUUAAGAUGACAAUAGGGUGAUCACCAAGCCUUUUGAGUAUCAUCAUAAACAAUCUAUUUGUACAUUUCAAAACACAUAAUCUAAAAUCUUAAAAUCACAACCAACAUGUAACUUAUGCCUUCAGAUUACUUAUGUUCAAUCUACUCGUAUAACAUUAUGAUCAAACUGACAUUAGUGGACCUAAAUAUGUACUCCCACUAUUUCUCAACUUAAUUUUGAGACAAUCAAGUCUAACACAGACAAUAAAACUAUCAACUUGUAAUUCAUUCCAACAUAAUGAAUUAUCAACAUAUGAAUUCAAACAACUGCUCGAGUCAAAUCACAGAGAUUCUCAAAGCAUUAAAUUGAAUUCAAAACUAUAUAUAUAUGUCAGACCAAUCAAUUACAAAAUUGAAUCUCUGAAUGCAAUAAACUUAGCUAACAAUUAUACUAACGGAUAAUUAUACUAGCUAAACAUAAACUUAACUUUAGAGAAGAACAUACUAGCUAAACAUAAACUUAACUUUAGAGAAGAACAUUACUUGCUACACCAGCUCUUCGAACUUCACAGUAGCAUCACUUCUCAAACUGUAUUAUUGCGAUUGUCUUCAAUGCAACAAUUGUUCUUUCUAAAAUAGAAUAACAAACUACUCUCACUGAUCAAAAGAUUCGAGCACAUCCAUCCUAAAGAUUUGUACCCUGAAUAUACCAACUGGCAACGCUUUAGUUAAGGGGUCAACAACCAUCAGACUUGUACUAGUAUGCUGCACAUCAAUACAUCUUUAAAGGCUUCUGUAUUGAUCUCACAAUCUUCAAUUCUGCCACAAAAUUCUUUAACCAAACUCCCUGCUUCAUUCCUUCAAAACAUGCCACGAAUUAUGCCUCCAUAGUGGAAGUUGCAAUAAUAGUUUGCUUGGCACUCUUCCAAGACACUGCACAUCCACCAAACAAAAAAAUAUAUCCACUAGUUGAUUUCUUGUCAUCUAAAUCACCUGCCAAAUCAGAAUCCAUGUACCUUUUCAUUUCAAGUUCUUCUUCUCUACCAUACACAAGCAUAUAGCAUUUAGUUUGUUGCAGAUACCUUAAAACUUUCUUGGCAGCACUCUAGUGAGCUUCCCUCGGAUUAGAUUGAAAUCUUCCCAAAAUUCCUUCAAUGUAUGCAAUGUCAGGCCUUGUACAAACAUUUGCAUACAUUAAGCUUCCAACUAGUGAUGCAUAUGGCUUUUCAGACAUCUUCUUCACUUCAAAAUCGGUUCUUAGACAUUGUUCUUUUGAUAAAUGAUCCCCUUUGUUCACUGGUACAUGACAACCAUUACAGUUUUCCAUAUUGAACAUGGUCAAAAUUCUUUCAAUAUAUGCUUUCUGUGAGAGUCCUAACAAUUUUCUAUUUAUGUCUCUAGCAAUCUCAAUUCCUAAGACAAAAUGUGCUUCACCAAGGUCAUUCAUUUCAAAAUUUGCACUAAGAAAUGUCUUUGUCUUUUUUAACAACUGAAUGUAGGAAUUAGCAAGUAGUAUAUCACCAUCGUACAUGACUAAGAUUAUAAACUUUGUCCCAUUGAACUUGAGAUAGAUGAAGUCAUCGAGUUUGUUCUCAACAAAGCCAUUAGAUGUAAUCACUUGAUCAAACUUUAAAUACCAUUGUUUGGAAGCUUGCUUGAGACCAUAUAUUGACCUCUUUAAUUUACAAACCAUAUUCUCCUUCCCCCUUUCAAUAAAUCUAGGGUUUAAACCAUGUAAAUAUCUUCUUGAAGAUCACCAUUGAGGAAAGCUGUUUUUACAUCCAUUUAAUGUAACUCGAGAUUAAAGUGUGCAGUUAUUGCUAUAAUGAGUCUCACUGAAUCUUUGGAAGACAUAGUCAAUUCCUUCUCUCUGAGUGAACCCUUUAGCAACCAAUCGAGCUUUAUACCUUUCAAUUUGUCCAUAUGCAUCCCUCUUAGUUUUAUACACCCAUUUGCACCCUAUAAGCUUUAUAUCAGACUUGCUCCACUAACAACCAAACCUGAUUCUUGUACACUGAUUCUAGCUCAUUCUUCAUUACAUUGUUCCACAAAAAUGACUAUGAACUCUUCAUGGCCUGUGAAUAAGUUGUCGGAUCAUCAAUGUCUCCAAUAUUGUAGUCAAUUUCUUGAAGAUAACAAAGGAAAUCACUUGUAAUUGCAAGUUUUCUUGUUCUUGUAGAUCUUUUAAUUUCAGGUUGAAUUUGAACAUUGUCAAUUUGCUGAGAAUUAUCAAUAUGUUUAGUAGUUUGUUGACUCGACUCAUACUCUAUUUUAGUUACUUCUGGUUGCUCCAUCACUUGAUCAGUUUCUUCAUUGUGAUCAGACUCAAUGUGUUGUUCCUUGGCUUGGGAGUACACCAAAACUGGGCAGUGUUCACUUGAAGAUGCUUCAAUUGAUGACUGCUCAAGUUUCUCAAAUAUAAGGUUCUCAAUGGUAAAAUAUGAGACAUCUUGAUCUUAAAAAAAUCUUGCAUUGUGGGUUUCCUUGAUUCUUGUAUGAGCCUGUGCACAAUAGAACUUAAACCCUUUUGAUUUUUCUGAGUAACCUACAAAAUAACAGGACUCAGUCCUAGGAUCCGAUUUCCUUUCCUCUGGAUUAUAGAACCCAGCCUCUGUUUUGCUUCCCUAAAUGUGGAAGUGACCAAAGCUUAUCAUUCUACCAUACCAAACUUCAAAAAGGGUGGUUGACAUUGAUUUGCUAGGGACAUGGUUUAGUAUGUAAUUAGCAGUCUUUAGAGCCUUACCCCAUAAGAAACUUGGCAACUUAGACCUUGACAUUAUGCUUCUCACCAUGCCAAUCAAUGUCCUGUUUCUUCUUUCAGACACUCCAUUUUGUUGUGGUGUACCAGCAGUUGUGUAUUGAGUCACAAUUCCUUGUUAUUCAAGGUAGAGAGCAAAAUGACCCUUAUGUUGUCUAUACUCUGUGUACCUGCCAAAAAUAUUAUUCACCCCUAUUUGAUCUAACAAUCUUAAUGGAUUUGUUUAAUUGUUUUUCUACCUCAGUCUUAAAGAUUGUGAAACAUUUAAGAACAGCUGACUUUUCACUCAUUAAAAAGGUAUAACUAAAUCUUGAAAAAUCAUCAAUGAAAUUAGGGAAAUUUUAUUUGAACUCAUAUAACCUCUUUUUACACCCAACGUACUUUCUACACCCAUAUUACUUUGAACUAAUCUAUCAAUAUCUCUUUAAAUGCAAAUUCAUGACCUAAACUACCCUCACAAACCCAAUUUAAUUGGUAAAUUUACCUUUACUCCCAUUUAGAAAAUACAGAUCCAAAAUCGAGAACUAUGGUAAAUUUACCUUUACUCCCAUUUAGAAAAUACAGAUCCAAAAUCAAGAAGAACUAUAUAAUACUUGAAAUGAAGCAUUAAGAACUGUACCAACUAUGAAGAAAAUCCCAGCAAUUAAAAUGGUCAGCCUUCGCCCUAACCUUUUGGUAGUGUAUGUUGCAAAGAAGGUCAAUACCAAAUCAACAAGGUACAUCAAAGAGGUGACGAAUUGAACAAUUGCAGGCCUUGAUUGUUAAAUCAUAGACUGAUGCCAAAGAAACUAAAAUUUUUUAGUAUAGUCUCCAUCUCCAUGUUCUUUGUUUGUUUUUAUGCUUUAAAAUACACAAAACAAAAAUAUUGUAAGUGUUGGUUGUCAUGAUCACAUUCUGAUAAGAAAAAUGGAGUAUUGACUUAAGAAUUUAAUUCAAUUGGAGUUUUGGUUUUUAAUUUAAGAAUUAGUGAGUCAUGGUUCCGAACUUGUAUUAGUGUAGAUCAAUGAUGUUUUUGGAUAACUCAGUUAGAACUUAGAACUUUUUCUCUUGUAGCUUUUUAUUUUAGCCAGAAUGAACAUAAGAUAAAGAUUGUGUGAUGUAGGGUUUGAUUAUUGUGUGCGGGUUUAUUGAUAAAUUUUAGUUUCAUUGUUAAUUUCAUCUUGUACUUGAUGUAAUUAUGCAAUAGGGUAAAAAGGACUAUUCACAUUUAAAGUUUAAGUUGGGUGUAGAGUGAGAUUAUGUGGGUUCAAAUAAAAUUUCUCAUGAAAUUAACAAAGUACCUGUUUCCACAAAUCGUUUUAGUUGGGAAAUGACCACAAAUAUCAGUAUGAAUAAUCUCAAGUAAAUUUUUGCUUCUUUUGGCUUCAAAAUUUUGAAAAUUAGUUAGCUUUCCCUUGAAACAAUCCACAUAUUCAGUUGCAGUUUCGAAAUCAAGUGAAGAAAUCAAGUUUGAUUUUGACAGUUUAGUGAUUCUUUCUUUUGAUAUAUGAGCUAAUUUCUUGUGCCAAAGAAUGUAAGAAGUGUCAGUGUUUAACAUUCUCUUAGUACUUGUAUUUAGUGCAUGAUGUUCAUUAAAAACCACAAUACACUCCAACUGCCAUAAGUUUUCAACUAAUCUUGCAGUCCCCAAAGUGGAAUUAAAAUAGUUCUUUUGAAAAAGUUGCAAACAUUCAUCAUCACCUAGGAAGGAAAAACCAUUUUUCACAAGUUUAGAGGCUGAGAUCAAAUUUCUUCUCAUCUUUGGCACAUAAAGCACAUCAUUCAAUUGUAAAAUGAAACCAGAAUUCAGUUUUAACCUAAUUGACCCAACAACUUUGACUACAACUUUUGUGUCACAUCCAAGGUAUUAAAUAUCGAUGAUAUCGGAAAUAUCGGUAGUCCAAAAACACGGAAAUAUCAAUGGAAAUAUCGGGAUAUUAUCGAUAUCGAUAAAAAUAAUAUGGAAACCACGGAAAUUGUAAGAAAAACUUGGAAAUUUUUAUUGAAACUUUGCACGAUGUUUAUUUAGUCAAUUAUCUAUUAGUUUAUCACAAAAAAAUGGAAGGAAAUGCAUUGCAUGAUGGAUUUAAUUGAUUUAAGUUAAUUAUAUAGCGAGCUGACAAACAUUGUGAGUGUAAAAAAUAUGUAGUAAUUAAUGAAAGAAGUUUAAACACACCAUAAUCAUUUAUAUAUAAUGAAUUAGUACAAUAUUUUACACUUUAUACAUUGCAUGGUAAGAUACAUGAGUGACUUAGUACCACAUAAAGUUCAUAAAAGGUUCAAAAUUUUCACUAUCUUCAUCAUCUCUAUGAGUAGAGUAAGUGUAUUGUGAAGAGUAGUCAUCAAAUGAUAAAUCCCCAAAAUAAUUUUGCAUGUAAUUGUUAACAUGCCAUCUAUAUGCAAUUGUUAACGGCAUUUUUGUCACAUUUUUUAAUAUUUUAUUUUUGUUUUAUAUAAAUUUUUCUUGUUUGUUGUACCACAAAUCAUGUGGCUAGUAUAUAAAGAAAAGAAAGCACUGAGUUUCCAAAAAACAUAAUAAAAAAAAAAAAAAGAAGGAAAGCUACUGUUCAUGAACAAUAGUCAUAUCAUGACGUAUCAUUUUCAUAUCAGAAUCAGACCAUAUUGGUUAGAGAGUAAAAUUGAUGAUCGAUGCACGUGUUGAUGAUCACUGCACUCUUUCUUUUCCAUUUGUUUUGGUUUUUUUUCUUGGGUUUCACUUCUCUGUCUGUCAUUUCCUGCUUUUUUUUCUUUCUCCGGUUCUCCCUCAUUCCUCUCCUUGUUUCUUCUCCGGUUCUCCCCCCAUCUCUUCUCUGCAACUCUCCUUCCCGAAGCACAGACACACCACACACACAACCCACCGUGACCUCCACCACAGUGGCACACACUCUGCCGAGCACCAUCACCACAUGUGGACCGUUCCUCCUCCCCUUCUCACUUCCCGGCUGCGGCAAGCACCAUCAGGCAAGGGGAGGCCUUGUUUAGGUCAUACGAGGCUCUCAGAUGAUCAGAUCCAUCAAAUCCGAGCGGGGAUUGCUCAUUUUCAGGGUCUGAGCGUGGAUUGCAGAGAGAGGAUUGCUCAUUUUCAAGGUCUGAGCAUGGGUCUAAGCGUGGAUUGCUCAUUUUCGGCUGCCGUUGCGACGAUGACGACGGAUCCGGCGCGAUAAUAUCGAUAGUAUCACAAUAUUAUCGAUAUUAUCGCGAUAUUAGUACGAUAAUUAAGUGUAAACGUGUGAAAAUAUCGCUGUCUAAAAAAAUGAUAUUAUCGGCGAUAUUUCGCCGAUAAUAUCGAUUUUUCAGUCCUUGGUCACAUCCUAGCCCGGGCCCCCACCACAUCCUAGGCUUGACUCCACCGUAGCACGAUAUUUUCCGCUUUGGGCCCUAACCACGCCCUUACGAUUUUGUUUCUGGGAACUCACACGAGGCCUUUUGGGAGCUCACUGACUUCGGGUUCCAUCGGAACUCCGAAGUUAAGCGAGUUCGCGCGAGAGCAAUCCCAUGAUAGGUGACCCACUGGGACCAGGGCCGGGAUGUGACAUUUUGCCCCUUCCCCCACAAAAACAUUGAAAUAGUUAAAGCUAGCAUCCUUUUAUUUUUCAAAACCAUGCAGUGAGUUAGUUAUGUGAACUGUGCAGCUGGUAUCAAAUCACCAAGAGUUAAAAUGAGUUGAAUAUCAGAGUGCGGAACGAACAAGGCUAACAAAAUAAGAAUAUUAUUAAACAAACGAAAAUGUCAGAACGGCUACAAAACCCUAAAAGGCUACAUUGUGACUAACUUGUUCUCUAAUGAACAACAAAGCACCCUAUUUAUAAUAAACUAACCCUAAUCUAACAAAACCUAAUUCUAACGGGCUAAGCCUAGAAAACCAAACAUUCAAAUAAACCAAAAUACUAAUAUUUUCCAACAAAAUGAACCUCAAUUAAGUUUGACUCUACACAUACAUUAACUAUCUAUUUCCCAUUAGCUUUUAGAUAGUCCUUAAAUAGUUCACAAUCUUUUCUUAAAUGACCUCGAGUUUUGCAGAAAAAACAUUUAAGUUUAGCAACAUUUUUAACCUUUGGUUUAAGAUUGUUAGAUCCUUUAGAAGUUUCAAAUAUUUUAGCAGAAGCACCAGUCUUAUCAGAAGGUUUAGGGUACUUGAAAUUCUUACCUGGAUUAUUUCCAGCAUUGUUGAAUUUUCUUCCUUUCCCUCCUUGCACAAAGUUCACAGUUUUAGUGUCUUUGCCCUUCUCUUGCCUCUGUCGAGUUUCUUCUUAAACACACUGUGCAAUGAGCUCAUCUACAUCCCAACUCUUGUCUUGUGUGUUAUAGGACACCUUCAAUUGAGAAUACUUGUUUGGGAGGGCUUGCAGAAUCAUGAAGAACAAUAGAUCCACUCUGGAUCCUAGUGUUCGGGGUCUAGAAAUCAAUUCAUCUGAACCGCACAAAUUGAAUCCAACGAUCUCCAUUAACUUAUUUUCUUGGCCCACCAUAUAAAAUCAACAGCUCUGAUUUUUUUUACACACCAAUCAAUAGCUCAGAUAAUUUGAUCCCUAGGCUCCAGACACUAAGGUCCGGAACGGAUCCAAUUCCUUUGAUAAGGCGGGGCGGCAGCUCUUUAUUUGGCAGAUUUGACAAGACGUUGGUAUAAAAUGUAGCAUGCAAACAGAAAGAACGUAAACUUAGAGACUUCAGGGAUCCGGGCCUGAAGAGCUCUUCAAUUCUUAAGUUGUAACCAACAUUUUACCUGUAGAUUGUUUUGAAGUUGUAUAUGUGACUGUACCUUUUUUUUUUUUUUUUUUUAAUAUAAGUGGAAGUAUUAUGUUAAUUACACUAAAAGAAGGGGAGAGUAUGAACUUAGUUGAAGUGAAUUGGUGAGUAAAACUAUAACCACUAGGAAACUUCACCCGUUGUAUAUGUGAUUAUACCUUGAUGUAAGGUCGUCGAUCUCUUCAUAUAAAGUGGUUUGCACGGUGAUAUAAGUUUCAUGUAACUGAUGUUAAUUGCUCGGAACUGUCUUUUGCUGUUCUGAGACAAAACUGAAUGUUUGAUAUUCAAAUUAUCAAGCUGUGUGUGCUUAUUCGAGAAUCGAGAGUUUGAGGGUAAUUCUAUUUGUGGUUAUAGAUUCAUUUGGAAGGGUUUUUAAAAUGAUUGAAAACGUUUUGAUGAAAAUGUUCUUGAAACCAAUCUUUAGUAAAAAUCCAAGUACAUAUCUAGUGUUUCUUUCAAAAAGCACUUAAAGUGUUUUUAGAAUCCAUAAUCAAUUUCACCAAAAAUUCUUUCAAUCAUUUUAAGAGAACUUUUAAAUAAGCCCUACAUAAGCUCUUCACAGCUGAAUCGAGAUCUUGAGUUGUGCUCGCAUUCCAAUUGAUUUUGGCUAUCUAUGCACGUAGUAACCAAGGAAGAAAAAAUCGAUAAUAUCAGCGAUAUUUCGCCGAUAUUAUCGUUUUUUUGGACAUCCGAUAUUUUUUUAACUAUCCAAAAGAUUUUCAUCAAAAUAUCGCGAUAUUAUCGAUAAUAUCGCGAUAUUUUUAAAAUUAUCGAUAAUAUCGUAUUAUAAUAUUUAAAAAUACUUUAAAAUGUUGAGAAAUCUCAACAUAUACUACACUUGAUCAAAGCCCAAAGGCCAACCAAGACAUGCUUUUCUCAGCAUGUGAAUGUGCCUUUUAUAGGCGUUCUUGGCUUGCUCACUGCCCUCGCUGGGCGAUGUGGGACUCGACCAAGGAAGAAAAUAGGAAUUUCGGCCGAAAAUCCACACCCACUUUAAACGGCCAUAACUUUGUCAAAACUCAACCAAAUCAAGCAAGACAAAAACGAAAGUUGUAGCCCUCAAAGCGACGAAGAGAAUGAUACCUCACACGACAUCUGAAUUGUCGUGGUGUGGCCGGCAAAUGCCUCGAAAGUCACUGAGGUCGCUGAAAACUGGGUAAGAUUCAAAUGAGUAUAACUUUUUCAAUACGCAACGAAAUUGAGUGAAACAAAAAGGAAAGUUGUACUAAUCGACGAGACGAAGAGAUUGAUACCUUUUACACUGGUCAACUCGCCGUGUUUUGGCCGGAAAUUUCCUCGAAAGCCACUGAGGUCGCCGGAAACUGGGUAAGAUUCAAAUGAGUACAACUUUUUCAAUACACAAGGAAAUUGAGUGAAACAAAAAAGGAAAGUUGUAGCCCUCGAAGAGACGAAGAGAAUGGUACCUCACACGACGUCUGAAUCAUUGUGGUUUGGCCGGAAAUUUCCUCGAAAGCCACUGAGGUCGCCGAAAACUGGGUAAGAUUCAAAUGAGUAUAACGUUUUCAAUACUCAACGAAAUUGAGUGAAACAAAAAGGAAAGUUGUACUACUCGACGAGACGAAGAGAUUGAUACCUUGCACGCCGGCCAACUAGCUUUGGUUUGGCCGGAAAACCAAAACGUUUUGUCUCAAGGGCUGGUACAUGUGAACUUGUGACUCCAACUAGGUAAGAGCCAGAUCUAAUUUGGGGCCUUCUAUCCUAUAUCUGUGGACAACCAUCAAAUGCUAAAGAUUAAACAAACAUAAUAUGUUCUACUGCUUAGCAAAAAAAGCUACAAACCCUUUGCUUAUCAACAAAAAAAGACAAGUCCUUACACUAGAUAUACUUUCAAAUUACGUUGAGUAGCAACCUGAUAUAUGUAUUCGGACGAAUUAUAAAACAAUUGACACACUCCUGACUUCCAAAAUUCAAUUCUUUUACUUUAUAUAAACUUGAAAAAACAUAAUCGGCAUCCCAAAUUAAAGUUUAGUCUUAUUUCAAUGUAUUGAUUUUCAAUCGUUAAUUGAUAUACUAUAAUUUGGAACUUCAAACGCCUAGACGCAUGCUUAUCUGUAAGAAAUUUAAAGUGUCAAAUUCGGCACAUUAUUCUUCAUCAUUUUUAUUCACUUCCCUUUUUUUUUUAAUAUCCUAAAUAAAACCUCCAAAAUAUUGUACUAAUUCAUCAUUAUAUAUAAAUGAUUAUGGUGUGUUUAGACUUCUUUCAUUAAUUACUACAUAUUUUCUACACUCACAAUGUUUGUCAGCUCGCUAUAUAAUCAACUUGAUAAUGUUAAAUCCAUCAUGCAAUGCAUUUCUUUCCAAUUUUUUGUGAUAAACUAAUAGAUAAUUGACUAAAUAAACAUCCUACAAAGUUUCAAUAAAAAUUUCCAAGUUUUUCUUACAAUUUCCGUGGUUUCCAUGUAAUUUUUAUCGAUAUCGAUAUUUUACCGAUAUUUCCAUCGAUAUUUCCGUGUUUUCGGACUACCGAUAUUUCCGAUAUUACCGAUAUUUUCUUCCUUGGUAGUAACACUACUUUGAACAAAAAAAAUAAAAAGGAAGGAACCCUUGAAAAUUGAGUUGAGAUGCAAAUUGUUUUUCAUGCUACAAUAUUGCUAUAUUUUCAGAAUUAAUAUAUAUUACACUAAUUUGUACAUAAUUGUUUAAUCUACCGACAUAUAACGUGGAUCAUACUUGAUCAUAAAAAAUUACUGUGCAUUAUGAUUGAAGUUUUCUUAGUCACACCCCACUACACAUCUAAGUUUACCUGAUAAUUAAGUGUUUAAAUUCAAUUCUACCCUUACUAAAAAAAAUUGAAAAUCCAAGAUUUUGGGAAAAACAACCUCGUCGUACCACCACGCCAGAGUCGUCCACCAGCCCGAAUUCUGGCCUCCUCGCUCUCACUAAAGCAUUCAAAGUAGGGCAUUAUUGCCAUUGAGGAGCUGUUUGAUCUCUUCUUUUUACUAAUUAGUGAUAUAAAGUUUGGUGUUAGAUAAAAUGCUAAACCCACCACACGACAUAAACAAGAAAACAUAAAAUUAAAAAAAGGAAGCAGCAAGAGGGAAUAAAAUUGAAGAACCCCUAAUUCUAAUUUCAUAUUAAAGAACUGGAGGGAGAGAGAGAUGGGUGAGAACGAGAAGUCGACGGCGGGGCUUGUAGGGAUUGCAGCUGAUGGUUGGAAACAUGGGCGAAGGUGGUGGGUUUCUUAUCCUGGUCUUCCUUUCUUUUUGUGGUCAAAUUAUCUUGGUCUUCCUUGACUUUUGAUUAAUUCUAACUCAAAUACUACAAAUUUAUAAUUAUAACGACUAUGGAUGAUACAUGUCCAAAAUGUCCGCAUUGUCAAAUCUAUGAGUUCACACAUAUAUGACUGCCUAGCUACUCAGCCUAGUGAAAAUAUAUGAUACUGUAUGGGAUUCAUGCAUACUAUAACGUGUAUAAUUUAUAAAUAUAUUCUUAUAUAGUAAACUGUAACUUAAUUAGAAAUCUUAGGAGCAUCAUAACUGAAACGUCAGCAGCAUCGUGUAAAUUUCAAGUUUGUGGUUCCAAUUCACGGAUAUAUAGGGUAUGACUUUUGGAAAAUAUCUGCAUAAGUCAACUCAUUGGUGGCCUAUAUUUCGUAAGUAGGCUUCUAGUCGUAUAAUCUUGUUACAAGUUAGUUCUCUACCGAUGAAAAAUAACCUCAAUUAGGCAAAGAGGGAAAAUUUGUUAGAAAAGUCAUUGUGUCAUAAGUAGUGGCAGUUAAAAGAUAUACAUAUUCAAGAAAUAGGGUAUAUUGAAGUAUUUGAUCUAAAAUAUCAAAUUUACUUUUGGUAUAUCUUUUAAUAUUUUCAAACUGUGCCAUAUUGAAUUUGAACUGUAGGCAUUUAUUCUAAUUGGCUAGAGUAGUGUGAUCCUCCAAGUUUGAUUAUCUAGCUCUGUGCAAAAGCUCUCUACUCUCAUAGUUCAUUUUUCUAGUUAGUUCUCUAGAGUUAUCACUUUAGCCCUAGGUGCUGGGAGGCGAAGCUCUGUGGGGUAACUCAACAUAUUGUAGCCCACCCGACAUCCUUCGAGUUCCUAGAUGUACAAGGAGGUACUUCGCAUCGAUCGUGGAGCAUUUGGUGGUGCUUGUAGGAUAGUGUCGUGGUUCCUAACUUCCGCAUAGAGGCAAGUUCGACCCUCUAUUCUUGUUAUAGUUUUCCAACAAUGGUAUUAAAGUCACUCACACACUCCUCGCAUGAUUACAUGUUUUAUUUAUAUAGAGUGAAGUGCCAAUUUAGUCCCUGAACUAUUACCUCAGUGAAAAUUAGGUCCCUAAAUUAUUUUUUGGUAAAAUAAGUUCCUCUAUUCAUUAAAAAUUGCUAAUUUCAUCCUUACUAUUAUAUUGAAAACAAUUUUAUCCAAUUUUUAGUCAACUUAAGUCACUUGACACACUUUAGAGGUAAUACCGUCAUUUUCUUGCCUAUAAGCCCUUAACAUUUCAUAUAUAUUGCGAAUCUAACGUUUAGCUUACCCGCAAAAGUGAACUCCAUACACUAUUUCCUUACUAAAAGUUACCAAUCUACCCUCCAAUGUGUAUCACAUCCAAGUAACAUGACAAAUUAAAGGAAAAUUCAAUAUAGUACCUUCGAAUAUAAUAUUAUGGAUGUAACUAGCAGAUUUUUGUAAUUCAAUGACUGCAUGCAAAAGCAAUAAAGCCACACUUGGCAUGUCAUAUAAAGUAUCGAAUAAGACUAAUAGUACGAAACCGGUUGUUUGGUUCAUUUUUGUAUUAAAUAGCCACCUGACUAAAUAAUCCGAAUUCACUUGUUUUGUUUAGUCCACACCUGCUACUCCAAAAGGUAAGACUCAUCGAAUUCAAAUGUGAGAUCUUUUAGCAAUCUAUUGUUAAAUAGCCCAGCCUUGGCUUGUCUUUCUCAAAUCCCUUCGUAUGAGUUUCUAGCUUCACCAUGGAACUCUUCUAUCCCCUUCAUGCCUUAAUUCCCAAACUCAAUUUUCACUUUGAGCCUUCGAUGAUUAGGAUUUGUAACCAAGAAACUUACCAUAUCCAUAUCUAUCAUUACAAACAAAGUCAAGUGAAAUAGGGAUAAACCAUAACCUUUUAAUAGUCACCUUUAUUUCCUUUAAUGUGUUCCAUAGCAUUCAUCCCUUACUGAACCAUCAGCAACGUUCUCCUUGCAAUUAUAGCAUACGUGUUCAACUUUAGGAGAGUGUUGAGAUUCUUUAGUGGGUUCUUCUUCAUUGGUGCCUUCUUCGCUCUUCAUCGGAAUAGAGCUUCUGAUGACAGAUUGACUCACAUUAGAGUUGACGAUCCUGGUUGAAUCAACUCCAUAGUAUCCUUAAGAAAAUUUGCAGGUGGGAGUUUGUCUCCCCCCAAAGAAUUGUACUCAUUUUGCCUGUUCACAGAACUUUGAUAAUUUACAUGUUUUAUGAGAAAUUAUAAUUUUAUCCAAGUCAUUAAUCUUGUUAGAAUAAAGCACUUGAAACUUUUCAUUCUUUGCUUCCUGAUCAUGGAAUAAUAAUUAAUCCGACAAAAUCUUUCCAAAAUAAAUCUAACCCUGGAGUAAUGAGUAAUAGAGUAAAACACGAACAAAUGCGCAGACCCAUGACAGAGCUCAAAGCUCCCCUAGGUAACAUUGAUUUGAAAAAAUAUUACCUCCUAGGCUUGGUGUUCAUAAGGGUUUUCAUUGUGAUAAUUGAAGAACCACAUUUCUUUGACACCAGGUCUAAGCCCAUGAAAAAUGUUUUACUCCAUACUCACCAUUGUGCAUUGGUUGGAUUAAGAAUGAGAAAUUAUGAAACCUUGUUUGGAAUGUUCUUUAGAGCUUUGACUUAGAUGAGCCUUCCUUCUUCCGAAUGGCAUGUUGCUUUGUUCGUUCACCUUACCCCAUUCUAGAGAUGAAGAUUUUAAAGAUUGCAAUGUGUUGUUAAGAAGGGGCUUCCUUCUAGUUCGAAUUGCGUGUCCGUCAUUAGUGAAUUUUAAACAAAAGUUUGUUAUGGACUUGGUCGCUUGCAUGUGGGUUUGAAACACCUUUAGAAUGCGUCAAAGUUAAACGUUUUUGAUUGGACUACACUUAGCUGGCUUGGCUAAGGCACUUUCGAGUACGGAGCUUUGUUGGAAUAAAAUUCCUCUUGAGGAUUUCCUAGUCUGGGUGCCUCUUUCGGACCUUGUCAUGGUGUUGCAUAAUGCACUUAACUUAGUACAAUCGUCCGAGAUAAAAGUAAUCGUACUCAGGGUUGGGACUCAGAGCCACCCCUCAAAUGAUUCCCGAUUGCCUUUUCCAUCAUUCCCUCGAAUGGUGUAGAGCCCGGGUUGAAUGUUAUAACCCACAACCCUUAGGUUGUAUAAUCUUUCCGAAAGAUGGAAAGUGAAUUGGACUUCCAAGUCGGGGGGUCAUGUCUCGUGCCUGUAGUUCGCCAAUCGUAACCGCACUUAAUAUGACUCGAGCCUCCUAAGUUGCUAACCGAACACUACAUAGUGGGCUAAAGGAGACACCUGUGACCCUAUCAGUUUGAAUUUUAAACUUGCGAUUACGCGAAGUUUCAAAGUUGUGUGUUAUUCAAGGAAUUUUAGGGUAUUCCAUUCACCGCAAAAGAAAAGAACGAACAAACAUGUAGCAUAUGCGAGUAACUCUGAAAACUCUUUCAUUGAAUAAAAAUGGGUGUUGACAAAUGGGGCGUGAUUGAAUCCGAAAAGGAUUACGUAUUUGCGAAAAAGAGAAUCAAAUGACUGGUGUAGUUUCAAAAAAGAUGAGAAAAAGUAAACACUUGUCAUGGUGAGGCGAUAAAGAGAUAAUGGGAAUCAAAUCGCAAAGCUUAUUCUAGAACGGUUUGGCUCCGCCUUUUAUGAAAACAACUUUCAAAUGCAAAUACAUGCUGCUUUUAAAAACUGUUGUAUGAAAGCUAUUACGUUUAAAAUAAGCAUGAUAUUUUAUUUUCAUCAAACAGUUUUUACUUCUAACUUGUGUAUAAAGCAUCUUUUUAGCUUACAAAAAAAAAAAAAAAAAAGAAAACCAAACGGGUUUAAGCCAAGAAUUAAAGUUUUGAAAUCUUGGAAUUUUGAAGUUUGGGAGGUUCACCAAAAUUUUAGUGACGUUGAAUUAUACCCUGUACAUAUUCUUCAAACCAAUAAUUAAUUAGGAUUUAUUACUUAAAAGAACCCUUAAUGUUGACGUACUAAUUAGAGAAGGUCAAGCAUCAUUAAACAGAAACAAGAAAAAGAAAAAGUAGGAACUUUCCACUUUGUAACUAUGUUCCACACGGAAGACCGACAUGGACCAAGCAAACAAGCAAAGAUGACCGGCUUCACAAUAUGCAUGUUCUCAUUGUUCUUUCUCAAGGCAGCCGCGUAGACUGCAACAAGUCUAACUUGCUUUUUCUUUACUCGUCAGCUUUUCCUUCUCUAUUUAUAGGCUUCAAUUCGAGUAUCCUUGCCACACACUCUCAUCAGUGAUCACCUACAACAACAAUACACAAUUUUCGUAGAAGUAAAGAAAUUUAGUCGAUGGAGAGCAAGAUGGUGAUUGUUUUUGGCUUUGUAGUUGCAGUAUUUUUGCAGAGUGCGGCAGCGCAGACAGGACAUGUGGUGGGAGACAGCAUAGGUUGGACCAUCCCUCAAUCUAGUGCACAAGAGUAUGUCACUUGGGCUGCAAGUAACAAGUUCGUAGUUGGUGAUACUCUGGGUAUUUUCUCUUCUCAUCUAUUUUCCAUCUCCGUCUUCAUUAAAUUAAUUACUUCAUGAACUCAUUAGUGUAAUGCAAACUUCAAAUAAACGAGCUGGACCAAUCAGUUGGUACUAAUAGUGUGCAACUGUGAUUGUUUCGAGGUAACUAUCCAUCAAUUAAGUUCUCUCACAUUUGAUGUUUCUUAAUAAUUUUCCAGUUUUCAACUUCGCCACCAACGCACACGAUGUACAAGAAGUACCCAAAGCAUCUUUCGACUCAUGCAGUUCCGAAAACCCAAUUGGCACAGCCAUCACAACUGGCCCAGCAAACAUCACAUUCACCUCCGCAGGCGACCACUACUACAUCUGCACUUAUGGCCGCCAUUGCCAGUCGGGACAGAAACUAGCCAUCACCGUCUCAGCUGCCUCCCCAGGUGCCGCACCUUCUGUGCCGCCACCGCCCUCUACAACUAACACCCCUCCAACUACCCCUUCCCCCACAUCAAACGACCCUGCUGCUUGUGAACCUGUCCCGGCUCCAUCGCCUUCCAUGAGUGGAGUACCCACCGUGAACACCACCCCUGGGUCGCUGCCUCCGUUGGGUUCUUCUUCACAUGUUGUUUUAGCUAGCUUCGUUUUAUCCUCCUUGGCUCUUGUCGUGGGUUUGUUCUUUUAGGUGCAGUAGACAUCGGCAUUUGGUCAUCCAAUAAUUUUUUGGGGUCUUUUGAUAUGGGUCCAAUUGGACUAAAAAUUGGACCUAUUUCAAAAGUCAAAAGUCACUAAAACGAGACAUCGGCUUUCUUACUUACCAUAUUGGUCAUCCAAUAUUAUCUUUUUUAUAUUUUUUCUUUCUUGAUAGGGCAGGGUAAAUAGUUAUUUAUUUUAAUCUCUUUUUUAUUUUUGUAUCGGUUUUGUAUAACAGAACCGUGAUGAUUUUUUGGAGUGUGCUAUUAAUAAAGGAAAUCUUGUAGUUGAAAAUAAUGUUAUGCACUAUGUUGGAACUUCGAACGUUAAACUUGUUUGUAUGGUGUUUAAAAAAAAUCAUUAUACAAAAUACAAAAAGAAAACGAUUGUAAAAUGUCUUUGAUACCUUGGUUUUUAAGAACAAACUCAUAAAAUAAAAAUAAAAACUAAAGACAAUAUUUAGUUUUAGUAAAACAUCAAGCAAGACAUGUAUACUUAAUUAUUAAACAAGAUUACUGUUUAAGAAGAAAGUUCAUAUACACAAGCACCAAUCUUACCAUGAUGGUCACACCUAUCGUCUUAACUGCUAUUGCUAUCACUAUUUUCUCAACUAUACCACUAUUCAUUUUACAAAAUACAAAAAAAACGAGUGUAAAAUGUCUUUGAUGAAGAAAUUAGGGUUUCACUAUAAAACCAAUUGAUAAUAUAGAAAACAGCUCAAUAUCUUAUCAGCCUUUGCCUUGGUCUACACCUCAUCAGUGUGGGACAUUUUGUCCUCACAUUAUUAACUCUCAACACGCUCCCUCACGUAUGACCAAUUUUUAAGCCUACACAUGGACAACUAAUUGGGUGAUGUGUGAACAAGUGCGGCCCUUGAGCUUUCACACAAGGGACAACCUGGCUCUAAUACCAUAAAAAAGUCGGUGUACUACCAUAAACCAAUUGGCAAUAUCAAGAGUAGCCAAACAACUUAUAAGCCUUUGCAUUGGUCUAUCCCACUGAUGUGGGACAUUUUGUCCUUACAGCAUCAACUCUCAACAUUUGAUAUGUUGGUUUUUAAGAACAAACUCAUAAAUGGAAAAAACUAAGGACAAUAUUUAGUUUUAGUAAAACAUCAAGCAAGACAUACUUAGUUAUUAAAUGUUAUUGUUUAAAAAAAAAAAAAAGAAGAAGAAGAAGAAAGUUCAUAUACACCACCACCAUAACCAUUUAGUACUACGGUUUAGUGGUAUUCCUCUUCAUUUUCCUUAAACUGCACAAAGCCACAACUUCACAACUUGGAGAAAUGCUUUUACAAUAAUGGGCUAUUUCAGAAUAUAAACUGAAAGUAGUGCAAUUAUGGCAAGUUCAAUCUCCACGUCUUUUUAUAUGUGUUUCAUUAAAAGGAGCAUAAAUAAUAUAAUCAAUAGGUUAUUUGCAUGCCACUCAGUACUAUAGUCUGGUGGUAUCCUCUUUACUUGGAAAUGAGAAGUAUUAGGUUUGAAUUUCGUGAUGGCGAAUUCGAUACCAAAUUAGAUUAUUCAUUAUGUGACUUUGUCGAACUUCCAUUUUCCCACAGUAUAAAAAUAUCGAUGUACUAAAAUAUCCCAAAAAGGGAAAAUUAGGUUCACAUCCUUCUUUUUAUUACUCCAUUGAUUAAAAUCCUAUUCAUUUUCAAUUUUUGAUCAAGGUCCUUGGGUAUUAAUAACAUCAUUAAUUAUUUGAAUAAUAAAAUAUUUUUAUUUUUAAAUAUAUUCCCUUAAUGUUAAAAAUGUUACAAUUAGUAUAUUUAUAUUUAUGGCUAAAUUUUUUAUCAUAUAUUUUUAUUUUUAGUUUGUACCUAUUUUUAAUUUGCAAAUAUUUUUUUAAUUGUACCAAUUUUCUUUUCAUUUUUAAUUUGUACCCAUAUAUUAGUUUCUAUUUGUGCCCAUAUUUUUUAAAGUUUUAUUUGUGUUUGUACCCAUGUGUAUACCGUCAUGUGACAUUGUAUAUUUAAUCAAUGAUAGAAAAAUUACAUAUGGUAUAUUUAUGUUUUUAUGCCUAAACUUUGUAUCAUAUAUUUAUAUUUUUAGUUUGUACCCACUUUUAAUUCGCAACAUUUUAAAAAAAAAAUUGUAGUAUUUUCUUUUUAAUUUUAUUUUGUACCGAUGUAUUAAUUUCUUUUAGCGCCUAUGUUUUUAAAAAUUCAUUUGUAUUCAUAAUUUUUUUUAUCUGUACCCUAAUUUAUUUUUAAUGUACCCAUUCUUCUUUAUUAAUGUACCACUUUGUUAUAUGUGAAAUGUAUUAAUUUUCUUGUAAAAUGUACCAAUUUUUUUAACACUAUGGAUACAUUCUUUUGCCAUUUAUUAUUUCUUAUUUUUACAUAUUUUUUAUCCAUUUAUUCAAUCAAAAUGUUUGAAUUUUUUUAUUGUAACUGUUUCUAAUAGUAUUAUAUAAUGAGGGAUUUUAAAUUUAUAGGCUUAUAGAUCUCAUAAAAUAUCAAACAAUUAAUGUCAAAAUUAUAAAAAUAAAAAUAUUAAUAGUAAUAUAAUGAGGUGUACAAAGUUAAGGGACCUUGAUCAAACUUUGAAUACUUUUAAGGUUUUAAUCAAAGAAUGUUAAAGAUUAGAGACCGCAUCCAAAAUAUCCCAAAAAAAAUUUAUUUGCAUUGCACCUUCUAUAGUAUCAUAAUUUUUUUUUUCUCACUAAACUUAGCUGCCACCAUUCAUGUCCCCACCCCGCUAUUAUCACCACUCAUAUCCCACCAUUAUUGUUACCACCACCACUGUUUCUACUUGGGGUGGCAAUCAUCUCCACCACCAUACCACCAUCUUAAAAUAUAUAUUACAAAACAUUAUUAUCAAACACGAAUUUCAUGUAUUGACAUUUAUAUAUCGAUAAACAAAGACGUCUAAUGUCUUCCUUGUCAAAAUAUAAUUCCCAGAUUAAACUCCUAGACGAAUUCUUCAAGUCUUUUUACUGCUACAUUUGCUAGACGUGAGCUGGGCCAUGUCACCUACUACUUUAACGGGCCUUGUUUGGGUUUGAAUUUUUGGGGUUUUAACGAAAAACCCACGGUACUGUUCACUUUAAUGAAAAACCACAUUUUUACAUUAAAAAGCCAAACCUGGUACUAUUCACUUUACCCUUUAUUUUGUCCUUAUCAUUAAAACUCAAAGUUUUCAAGCUUUUUUCAUUAGUUUUCCUUUGAAUUUUUUUCCUGCAAGCUGAAUGGAAAGACACGAUAAGAUGUGUUAAAAUAAUGAGUUAACACGAACCAAUAUCACGACCCAUUUGUCAGGUCCAUGUAAAGGAAAAUGUGAUUUGACCAAAUUUAUUGUUGUUAAAAAUUAAAACCUCCGCGGUUUUGAAGAUUACAAUAUUGAAAUAGGAAUGUAAGUUUUCCUAGUUAUGGAAUCCCUUUCUAUUGAGUGAUCUCUCAAAAAACUUAUUUGAUGAGCAUAGGUACAUUUUUAAGAAAUUUAAUUAGUUUUAUGGUGGAACUUUAACUUUUUCAUGAUAUCAGAAUAUGUUGUCCUGUGUGAGAAAGCCCACAGCCCGGCAUGCUUUAGGUCAUCUAAUUUGUGUUGUCCACGUGUUAGACUUGAAAAUUUGCCGCUCAUAAGGUGUUAAUCCCCCAUUGAAAAAAAAGACCUUGCAUGUGCUUAUAAGCAAGUUAGGCCAUUCCCAUACACCUAUUUAUUUUAUCUCAACUUCUUCACAUUCUACAUUGUAUUUUAAUGAUUCAAACAAAUUAUUUUUCAAAUUGUUGUUGAAAGUUUGUUAGUUUGUUCAGUGAAAUUGUUAGUUUAAAACUCGGUAGAAGUUGGUUAAAAGGGAAGCAUUGUAUCAGAAAGAUUGUUUUUUUUUUUCAAAGGCAAAUCAGAUAUAUUAAAGUCGGAGAGAAAGGUUAGCAUCAUUGGCCAGGGUGUUAAACAAAAAUUCUGGCCCAAUACAAUCCCAAACGAACUCCCUACCCUCCAUAAAAACAAACUUGGCCACCGAGUGAGCAGCAGUGUUGCUCUCUCUAGGCGCGAAGACGAAAGACACGGCCUGCAUCCUACGUGCUAGAUUCUCAAUGUCACCAAGCAAACAACCAAUCCUAAAGUCCCGAGUUAGCUCCUUUCUAAUCAUGAGGACAAUAGCCCUAGCGUCAGAUUCAACAAUAACGUUAACAAAACCCUGAAGCAGACAAAAUUCCAAGGCCCCCCGAAUUGCAGCCGCUUCCGCUGCCGCAGCAGAGUGAAAACUUGAAGCACCCGUUCCACCAGCCCCCUGCAGCACCCCAGCAAAGUCCCGGGCCACCCAACCCAGCCCCGCCCUCUGCGAAGCCUUGUACCACGUAACAUCGGUGUUCACUUUAAUCAUCCCAAAGCAAGGUUUCUUCCAACAAACCCGUCUUCUUUCCUCCCCCAUGUCCCUGUUGUACACCGGAGUCGGAGAGCCCUGUUCCACCCUCUCGUUCGCAUUUCGGUAUUCAGCAACAUUCCGUUUCCAGACCUCAAGAAUCUCUGUCGGCGGAAGGAAACUCCCCCUGAAGAUAGCAUCAUUCUGAUUCUUCCAUAAUCUCCACAGGCCAAAGACGAACUCUUGCAGAAGCUCGUUCUUGUCAGCUAGAUCAGCAACCCGAUUGUAAAUAUUUACCCAGCUUUGUAGGAAGUCAGUUCCCUCCAGAUCAAAGGAGUUGAUCUGAAGCGGGGAGCAAAACUAGAAAAGAUGGCUUGUUUCGCAUCUGAAAAAAAUAUGAUUCUCGGUUCAUCCACCAGUCCGCACACCCCACAGAUGUUGUCAACCCGCAUAUGCCGCCGUUUGAGGUUUCUCCGAACAGCCAGCGCGUGAUUACAACAUUUCCAAAUAAAAAAUCUCAUCUUCCUGGGAACAUCCAGGCUCCAAAUCGCAUUCCAAGUCUUGUUAUGUUUGGUUUUGUCGCUGGUAGCCCCCCGUCCCUUCUUUCUGAGCCCUCCACUCUCCAUGAGCUCCAUAGCAAUUCCAUACCCCGAUUUCACCGAGUAGACCCCAUUCGCAGUGUGGAACCAACCCAUCCUGUCACAAGAUCCAGUCUUACUAAUCGGGAUACUGAGAAUAGUGUUCGCCUCCUCAGAGCUGAAGGAAGCACUAAUCAAAUCAGCUUUCCAGGUCUUGGAUUCCUGGUUAAUUAAAUCACGAACAUACAGGGCAUCCAGGUUCACCGCAGGCCUGAUGCAAAAGGUAGACGGCUUGGGGUACCAGGGAUCCUCCCUAAUUUUUAUAGUUUCACCGUCUUCCACCCUCCAAAUCAGCCCCUUAUCGAGCACCUUUCGAGCUUCGAGAAUUCCUUUCCAUCCCCAAGAAGAUCCCCGACCGAUGGUUGCCUCCCUAAAGGUUUUCUCAGGGUAGUACUUAUCUCUCAUCACCUUUGCAAGCAAGGAAUCCGGGAAAAUGAUUAGGCGCCACCCAAUCUUGCCUAGGAAAGCCAAAUUAAAACCUUGAAAGUCUUUAAACCCGAGCCCCCCCAGGCUUUUCUUCUGCAAAAGACGGACCCAGGAAGUCCAAUGGACUCCCCUGCUGACCCCGCUUCCCCUCCACCAAUAGCUGCGAAUAGCCUUCUCAAUGUCCCUACAUACUCCAAUUGGCAGCUUGAAGCAACUCAUAGCAUGAUUUGGCAUAGCCGUAGCCACGGCUUUUAUGAGGAUUUCUUUACCUGCUGGGCUUAGAAACUGUUCAGCCCAUCCCGUCAUCCUUGAUUCAAUCCUCUCCCGGACGUCAUUGAAAACCACCUUUUUCGAGUGCCCAAAAUCAGCUUGAAGCCCCAGCUUGAAGCCCCAGGUAUCAGAAAGCUUGUUCAUUUGUUGUAGGCGGAUCCCCCAAGUUUAUCACGUUAGACUAUACGACCAUGUACAUCACAAGAAUUCUUCAACCCAAUAAUAAUUAGGUUUUAUUACUUUAAGAACCCUUAAUGUUGACCUACUAAAGAGAGAAAGUCGAGCAUCAUUAAACAGAAAAAAGAAAAAGAGAACAAGUCUUUUCAUGAAAUGUAGUAUGAUAUGAAAGAAGGUUGGAACUUUCCACUUUGGGUCUCGGUACAACAUAAUAGACUAGAAUAGUCUAACAUGCACCAGAAAUCAAAGUUAAGAUGACCGACUUCCCAUGCAUCUUCUUAUUGUUGUUCAAGGCAGCUGCGUCUAAGACUCUACCAAGUCUUGCUUUUUCAUUACACUCUUCAGCUUUCCCUACCUCUCUAUUUAUAGGCUUCAAUUCAUGUAUCCUUGCCAUACACUCUUAUCAGCGAUUACCUAAAACAAAUCAAUUUGCUUUAGUAAUCACAGCCUCCUACACAAUUUUCCUAGAGAGAUAUAGAGAGAAACAGAGCUAGAUAGAUGGAGAGCAAGAUGGUGAUUGUUUUCGGUGUAGUUGUGGCUGUGUUCCUGCAAAAUGUUGCAGCACAGACGGGACAUGUGGUGGGAGGAAGCAUAGGUUGGACCAUCCCUCAAUCUGGUGCACAAGAGUAUGUCACUUGGGCUGCAAGUAACAAGUUCGUUGUUGGUGAUACUCUCAGUAAGAUUCGCUUCUCUUCUGAUUUCCAUCGUCUUCUUCAUUAAGUUAAUAACUUCGUGAACUCAUUAGUGUAACACUCUUUUUCAAAUGAACCAGCUAGACAGACCCAGUUAGGACUCCACAUUUACUGAUCACAUUAAAUAUAUAUAUAUAUAUAGAGGUCGCACUUGGUGCGAUGGCAAGUGCCUUCGCCCAUGAGCGGUAGGUCUCGGGUUCGAGACUUGGGAGCCGCCUCUCCAUAAAUGGGGGUAAGGCUAGCCGACAUUCAUCUCUCCCAGACCUUGCGUAAAGCGGGAGCCUUGUGCACUGGGUACGACCUUUAUUUAUAUAUAUAUAUAUAUAUAUAUAUAUAUGUAUAUAUAGUAUAUUUGAAGUGAAUCCACGAGUAUUUCCGUAAAAUAAGAGCACAUGACCGACAAUAAUUAUCAAAUGAAGUUUCAAUUAAUUUCCGCUAGCCUUAAAAUUAUUCUAAGGUAAACUAUCCAUCACUCAUGUUUCUCACAUUUGAUGUUUCUUAAUUAUUUCUCCAGUUUUCAACUUCGCCACCAACGCACACGAUGUACAAGAAGUACCCAAAGCAUCAUUCGACUCAUGCAGUUCGGAAAACCCAAUUGGCACGGCUAUCACAACUGGCCCAGCAAACAUCACUCUCACCUCUUCAGGCGACCACUACUACAUCUGCACUUAUGGCCGUCAUUGCCAGUCGGGCCAGAAACUAGCCAUCACCGUUUCAGCUGCCUCGCCAGGUGCCGCACCUUCUGUACCACCACCACCCUCUAACACCCCUCCAACUAGCCCUUCCCCUACAUCAAAUGACCCUGCUGCUUGCGCACCAGUCCCAGCUUCAUCACCAUCCAUGAAUGGAGGAGUACCCACCGUGAACAUCACGCCGGGGUCGCCGCCUCCGCUGGGCUCUUCUGCACCUGCUGUUUUGGCUAGUUUCUCUUUGUCGGCCGCGGCUCUUAUCGUGGGUUUGCUCUUUUAGUUACCAUGAAGACAUCGCGAGUCCUAAUUAAUUACUAUAUUGGUGAUCCAACCUUUUUUAUAUUGUCUAUCUUGAUAGUACAAAAGUAAAUGGAAUUUGAUCUUAGUCUCUCUCUUUUGUUCUAAAUAAUUUUGUAUCUGUUUCGUAUAACGAACCCGUACAGGGUGAUUUUUUUUUAGUAUACUAUCAAUAAAG
rnacentral:lncRNA from 1 species